UUUUGCAAUGGCAUCAGGAAUUGGCUCUGGGAUAGACUUGAUAGCUUCACCUAUAGCUGAUUUUAUAUGUGCCAGACUUUCUUCCUGAGCAGGUUUCAAACCUUCGAUAGCUGACAUUAUCUGGGACAGUGGAUCCUGAGCAGUAGGCUUCACAGGUGUAGAAUUUCUCUCCUUUUGUUCAGUUGGUUGACUUUUCUUUAGCUGAACAGUAAUCCUCAGAGGGUUUAGUUUCUGACGCAGAGCUGCAUCACGCAGGUCAUCAUCAUCAUCUAGCAUGACAGCAUCACCAUCCUCAUCGGUGUAAGUCAGAAUGAAGUCAGCAUCAGGACCGAACUUAAAGGCAGUUGCUAUCUUUGCCCGCAGAGCAGAUAAAUUCAUGUCCAAAUGAGCUCCAUUGACACAACCAUAAAACCUCUUAAGAGUGUCACCGUAUUUGACCUGCAAUAUGUUAAAGAAAAUCAGAAAGUUACAGUAAGAUAAUACACUCAUAGUCAGCACUUACAGCUAGAAGAUCAAAUGAAAACAGUGAUAUAUGCGAGAACAAAAAUCAUAUAAAGUUGGGGACAUGAAGCUCUUAAAAUUGACCUGUUGAAACCCUCUAGGAACAACAACAAAAAAUUGCCAGGUUUCAAAACAACAAAAAGGACAUUAGUUAAACAAUCUGGAUAAACAUGGUGGAAGUGUCAGAGGAGUACAGAAAGAAAGGACAACUCAACAAAGUUGAAAUGGUGGAACCAUAAAGUUAAAUCAAAGCAGUCUAAUGGAAGAAACAUAUUACACCUACUGCAGCCUCAAGAUGCACUUAGUCAAUGUGCAAGGCUAUUCAAUCUUAUCGUUUCGACCUAUUCCAGAAAACCUGCAUGACUGAACCCUCAAUUGCAAUGAUCAUCCUUUUUCUGUUAUCCAAUUCAAAAUCAUAAAUGGCAACUAAACUAAAGCAAGGCAGAGCAAGAAGCAGAAAUAGAACAAUUGGAAUCUAACUGUUGUUCUGCCUAAAAUGUUCUUAACAUCUAUUCUUAAUCCACGUUGAAUCCAAAAACUGGCAUAGAGAACUGUACAAAGAGAUGGCUCUCUAUACAUCAUAUUCUAAAAAAAUACAUCUAGUUUCAUCAGAAAAUAAACAAUCUCGAUGUGAACAGUAAUACAGAACAGCUAACAUGCCCAACUUUCCCCCCCAUUUUUCCUGCUAUUUUAAGAAUCCACAAGUGGGAACUCGUUAAUAGCACUCUUUAAAGUUAGAUUCAGAUAUCACAAAAUACCAUGUAGGAGCAUAUUUCAUGAGCAGAUUACCCUAGACGCCACAGGCAAACAUAGGACCAUCUUCAGUCAUUAACUAUCAGGCACCGACAGAUGAAUCCCCAUCCGAAGGUGUUUGGUAAUAAGCACGCACAAAGAAAAUCAUGUCCGUGGUCUCACACCACCAUCGGCAAAUAUAGAAGAAUCUUUAUCUUUAAACCACACGAUGAAUAAACUAAGAGACUCCAUCGCCUACACAAAAUAUCUCCUCGUGGAAAAAGAGAAUCUACACCAACAAAACAAACCGCAAAACCCUAGUCACCACAGGACUGUGGAAACCCCCUGUUUCCGUCGAUCUAAUACCCAAUCCGACCAUACCCACGGCCGAUCCAUGAUUCAACACAGAAACCCCCAACCCACGGCCCUCCCCACAUCGAUCAAAUCAAAACCAUGAACAGAGGCGGAGGUUCCCCCACACGGCCACACCUCACGCCACCACCGUGCCCCCUAAAUCGCACAGAACCCCAAGUACGAAACCACAGAUUUUUCGGCCGGGGUGCCUCACCUUGAAUGUGACGUCUCGCACCUCGGCCUGCGGGCCGAAGGGGAAGAACGUCGGCGCGGCCGGCGAGCUCCGGUCGGACAUCGUGUCGGGGGGGAAGCCCCGCGGGGGGGAGGACGAAGCGGCGAUCUGGCCGAACCCUAGCGGAGUCAGUCGUCGAUCGAUUCGGGACGAACCCUUGACGCAAUCGGAGAGGAGGGGGAGGGGCAGGGGAGGAGGGGGAGCGGGCUGCGUAGCCGUGAGCCGCAGCUGUGGUGGUGAGGGGAGAGUGUCGAUGCGGCCAAGCCCUGGGCACCGGAGCCCCUCUUUAUCACGCCUCGUUUGCUUCCGAGCGAAGGGAUAGCUCUCUAGGCGGUGCCGUUGGGGAUUUAAUGCCGGGCCCCACGCGUCAGCGAGCGAGCGAGACUCCGGUCGCUUCCCCGGGUCGUGCCCGCUGGGGUCCUAUUCAGCUCGCGCGUGCUGGUGGGACCCACGUGUGGGGUAUGGAUGUCGGUGACGAUAUAUGGAUAAGGAUAUGGAAUAAAAAAUUGCUGCUAAAUCCUGCCAUCUUCUUUGGGCGCAAGUCGGGAUCUCCUUGCCUGCUGGAUCCCGCACGUUGCUUGAGUCACUGUCGGAUGGGCCCCGUUGGAUUUCUUUCUCGUUCGUUGUCGCCUGGCCGGUGGGGACAGACGGAGGGCAUUUAUUUGGCGUGACCGCGUGAGUGACUGGUUGAGCUCUUCUUGCCGUGCAAGCUGGGUGGUGUGUGCUCGGGCCUCGGGCUAAGGAAUUGACUAGUCAGCGUGCCCGGGGUGUUCGAUAGCCUUAAUGAAUUAACUGACUUUUUUUUUACGACUAAUUAGAAAACAUUAAACAUGAGAUAAUUACAAAACUAAUUACACAGAUGGAGGCUAAUUCGCGAGACGAAUCUAUUAAGCCUAAUUAAUCCAUCAUUAGCACACAUUUACUGUAGCAUCACAUUGUCAAAUCAUGGACUAAUUAGGUUUAAUAGAUUUAUCUCGCAAAUUAGCCUCCAUCUGUGCAAUUAAUUUUGUAAUUAGUCUAUAUUUAAUAUUCCUAAUUAAUAUCAACAUUCGAUGUGACGGGAAUUUUAGGAGAACUAAAGAGCCAAACGGAGCCUCACUGCUCCAUCAAAUUACUCGUAUUAUUCCAAAAAAAUGCUUAAAAAACCUAUGGGAACCAAUAUCAUCUUCAACAUCUAAAAAAAAUUAGCUUGACUUUUGCUCUCUUCUGCCAGUGAUGUAAAACACAAUAGUACCUAUGUAGCUUUCGUGUGCUGGAUAAGCAACAUGGUUUUAAAGUCCACUAAGCCCAACUGGAAAGAUUACAUUCAAUAUUUUCUGAGAAAUAGAUCAACAUUUAGAAAUAUUUUUAACAUUUUUGAAAAAAUAACUACUUUCAACAUUUUUCUUAAACUAUCCCAUCAUUUCAAUAGAAUGGAUUCAACAUCUACUAAAACCUAUAUCAACAUUCUGAAAAAAAUUGGUAUUCUUCUCCAGCGGCGGCAGCAUGCGCGGCGGCGGGGGCGACCUCUGGCGGCGUCGAGGGCCACACAUGCAACGGCUGGAGGCAGCGGUGCGUGCCCCCGCAGCGGUGGAGCUCGCCACAGCGACGCGUGGGAUCGACGGCAGCAGCAGGGAAGCGAUGCCCCCCGUCCGUGGUAGAGCCACCGCAUGCGCGCGCAGCCCCACACCUUGUGGCUGCAGUGGCGGAGCACAUGGGGCGGCAGCGCCGCGUGGCCAUAGGGACAGCAGAGCCCUAGCCGGGUUGGCGGGCACAAGGAGCAGCAUCGCUUCGGAGAGGAUGGCGGCGAUGCUCGAGAAAGGAAGACCAAGGCAACUGGAAACCCUAGGCUGAGCAAGAUCCAACCGGUGGAGCUCUUAGCACGAAUCUCAAACACCGGAAGACAUGUGACAUAUUGGUUUCCGGAAGCCAUAAUCCACGCAUGACCUAGGCUUAGUUGGUUUUUGCUUUCUUCUGCUAGACAUGUAAGAGCAUCUCUAAGAGUGGCUAAAAAAAUAGAGGUCCAAAAAAAUGAUUUUAGGAUAUUACCAAAAACUAUUGGGAGUAAAAACUACCAACUCCAAAUGUUCCAAAAAUUUAAUUCCAGAAUAGAUCUAAUUGCUGCCGCAUUAUCCAAUGUGGGCCCACCAUACCAACUGUACCUCCUCUAUCUACUUUUCGGGGGUGUUUGGAUCUUUAGUCCCGACUAAAAUUUAUGUCACAUCGAAUAUUUGAAGGCUAAUUAGGAGGACUAAACAUGAGCUAAUUAUAAAACUAAUUACACAAAUGGAGGCUAAUUCACGAGACGAAUCUAUUAAGUCUAAUUAAUCCAUCAUUAGCACAUGUUUACUGUAGCAUCACAUUGUCAAAUCAUGGACUAAUUAAGCUUAAUAUAUUCGUCUCGCAAAUUAGUCUCCAUCUGUGCAAUUAGUUUUGUAAUUAGUCUAUAUUUAAUACUUCUAAUUAGUAUCUAAACAUUCGAUGUGACAGAAAUUUUAGGAGCUACUAAAGAAACAAACACCCCCAACGGGCACAUCUCGUUGUUCUUAUUCCUGACUGAUCUGACCAUUCAAGCUGCUUGUAAUCUGUUCUCGAUGCUAGAUUCACAUUGGAUACACAGCUACGCAAAAGCCUGACGCAUUUGAGAAACAACUCUCCUCUGCUUGCUCCUGGCCUAGGGGAUGUUUGAAUACUGGUGCUAAACUUUAGCAGUUUUCGGAUACUAAUUAAGAAGACUAAACAUGAGCUAAUUAUAAAACUAAAUACAGAACCCCUGAGCUAAUUCGCGAGACGAAUCUAUUAAGCCGAAUUAAUCCACCAUUAGCAAAUGGUUACCGUAGCACCACGUUAUCAAAUCAUGGACUAAUUAGGCUUAAUAGAUUCAUCUCGCGAAUUAGACUCCAUCUGUGCAAUUAGUUUUGUAAUUAGCUUAUGUUUAAUACUCCUAAUUAGUAUCCAAACAUUCGAUGGGACAGAUGCUAACUUUAACCGGUGGUAUCCAAACACUCCGUAAGGAUACUUGCGUCCAUGUAAUUUCGUUCAAUUCAACAAACAUCUUUACUGUCGGAUUUAGAAAGCAUCUGCAUUGAAAGUUCUCAUUGGAAGUUGUCAUCGUGAGUUCAGCUAUGGAUUUCUCCUUCAUCUUCGACUUCCAGUUACCUCUCAUGGUGGAGAGAUGCGACGGAAGGUUGGGCGGUGGGAUUGGAUCGGAGCGGUGACGGGGCCAGGCGUCUUCUAGACCGCCAAGGAGCAAUAUGACGACACCUAAUGGGGAGAUGCAGGGCACCACACCGUGGCUGUCUGCACGAUUAGGGCGGAUGCAUGGGGCGUCGGCGUCAUUGUGGAGAUUCGGAUAGGCCAGCAGGCUGAAUUGCUGAAGGUAAAACAAUGCGUAGGACUAUGACCCUGUUUGUAUACGCUUUUCUGAAACUCGCUUAUCUGGCAAGCAAGCUUAUCUGAUAAGCCUGCUGCCUGGAGAAUCUGCUGUCUGAAUAAGUAGGGUGUUUGGCAAUCCUGAUUAUUUUGUGUCGAUUGUCUGUCUUGGUUGGUAAAUUGACCUGAAUACCCCUCAACACUUCACCGUUUCCUGUUUGCUCUGCGGCCUCUGCCCCUUUUGUCCCCAGUCCCCACGGCCACCAGGGUGGAGACGACGCGCACACAGCAGCAGAGCAGCUGGCGAUUGGCGGCGAGAAUGACGCCGGGACCGGGAAGCGCGUGUGUAGUGCAAGCGGCAGGGGCGACCGACGGUGGAGGGCGAGCCCAGGGGCGCCUCGUCGGUUGCAGGAAGGUGGGCGGCGAACGGGAGCCGGCAGCGGUCGUGGGAGUCGCGGGAGGCGGCGCCGGAGGAAGGGAGGCGGGCAGGGGCGGCCGGCGGCGGGGGCCAAGCCCAGGGGUGGCGCCAGUCGGCGGGCGCGAGGAGCGGACGGCAGGAGUCGGUGGGGGUAGCGGGGGUAAAAAUCGCGAUGCUUACCCGAGAAGCGCCCUUGAGCUCGCUUACUGGAUAAGCGGUGCCCCAAUUGUUUUUUGGAUUGUGGACUAAGCGGCUUAGGGGGUAAGCGAAAAAUAAGCUAGGUGUUUGGGUAGGCUUAUCGCUUAUUUCCACAGAUAAGCGGGAAAUAAGCGGAUACAAACAGGAUCUAUGGGAGGUGAAAUUACGCGGGAGGAAGAAAAAAAGCUGAAGGCCAUCGGGGAUUAGGAGUGUGACCUAGCGGCGGAAAUUUGGCUUGAAUGGCCGCUGGUAUUGGGCGCGCGAAAAGAUUGGGUACCGGUUUGGGCUACCGUUGGAGAGGGUUUUUUUUGUUUGCUCCCAAUAUUGGCUCGAAUGCUCUAACGGCAAAAAAGGGAGCCCGGCUAAAGGACACGGCCUCCGGCCGGCCCAGCAAGGGUAUUGGCGGCCCGGGUUCCGGAUGCAGCAAUGUAGCUUUGCGAUAGUGGGCCACAAUGCCAGCCGCACAACCUGCUAGAACCAGGAACCCUCGCGCAGCCUCGUCGCGUGCGUCCCCAUGGAGCCUCCGCAGGAGUCCGCCGCCGGUGGCCGCAAGCGGCGCCGGCGAGGAGGUUCCCGGAAUCGCGGGAAGCCUUCGUCAUCAUCGCAACAAGCGCCUCGGCCAGCGGUGGCGCCCCCACCGCCGUCCUCCCCUCCGGCGAAGCGGCGGCGCAAGGACGGCGCCGGCCAGGCCGCGGUCACGCCCAAGCGAGACAAUACCUCGAUAAAACUCGACAAGGUAACCUAUAUUACUUGGAUUGCAGAUUCCUAGGAGUUUAUGGCCCGGGGAGUAUUCAGGCAGCGGAGGGGACUAUGUAGACUUCGUCGCUUGCAGUUGCAAGCUUUGUUGAGCUGCUUAGUGCGAAUCUUUACAGUAGGUUGUGCUCGGUGAGAUGAUGGAUGUAUUGACGUUCGUGUAGGACGAGCAAUUCUUGGUAAUCUUUUUGUGUAUCUAAUUACUAUAUUUGGGAGCGCCCCAAUAGGCCAUUGUGCUUCGUCGAGUCUAGUGUAUUGCUCCAAUUCGCACAAUCACAUUUGGUGUACAUUUGUUGCUAAUUGAAAAAUCUAACAAAUGUUGCGAAGUCAGUAGGGGAUGUUAAAGAUGGCUUGAUAUUUGGCCUCAUGGGGUCUUCCUCCUGUUUCCUUCUUUGGUUGUUUUCUUUGAGCAAAUUAAUCAAUUUGUUGUUUGGUGACAUUUUAGAUGCGUGCAAGGUUAUAUGGUGGCCAUUUCAGAAUGCUAAACGAGACGCUGUACACUUGCAGGUUCACAUUCUACAUACCACACCUCUAUUUGAUUGUGUUGGAUGGCUUGAAUGCUAUACUUUCUGGACUGUAUAUAACAAUUUUAGACAACAGUUGGGCGUACGAAUUUGUAUGUUAAGAUAAUAUAGUUACAUGGUUUUGUUUCUACUAGCUCCUACUCUCUGUGCAAAUACUGAUAAUUAUCAUUCAUUACAGUGAUGGGGGCUAUGUAGACUAUCAUUGCCCUUGAUAUUUUCACUGUUUGUUGUGCCUUGGACUUGCCACUGUUAAAUAAAGCAUACUAUUCUGAAUUACUAAAAGGGCCUUUAACUCUUGGAAUUCAUAGAUAGCAGAGAUCUUUUCUCGCAUGUUUCAAAUUUUCACACGUGCUGUUUAUCUUUCCAGUGGGCAGGAUGCAUUUGACUACUUCCAAAAAGACCCUAGUCUUUUUGAUGUGGUAAGUUAUUUUUCUUCCCUGUUUUAAUACUGACGUCUGCUAAUACUAAAAGAAAAUUCCAUCUUGCCAUUGUUUCUAGCUAACAUAAAUUUGGGGUAGGUGUGGAUGCGCAUAAUUGAUCUCCUGAAAACUAUAAGUACAGUACUAGACUCAUUUUAUUUAUUUUGUUCUUUAACUUUUUAAUAUAAUUUGGUUUGCACAGUUCAUCAAGAAUUUCUUGCUGUGAUCAUUGUGCAAAAAGGAUUUGGCACACUCUGAGUCAAGGAACUAAUUAAUCACGUCCAUCAGAUUACAUGCUUGAAUUCACGUUACUCUCUUUUAGUAUCAUACAGGAUAUCAAGAACAGAUGUCACGUUGGCCAGAGCAGCCAGUAAAUGUAAUAAUCAAUUGGUUGAAGAGUCAUAAGACAUCGUGGACUGUUGCUGAUUUUGGCUGUGGUAAGAUUAAUCUUACAGCCCUGAAACUUAUGGCUUUUGCAAGUUUUUUUUCCCUCUUCCAUCUUUUUGUUUACCGCGUAAUUAUAAGAAUGCAAUUUACGCUUUGCAGGCAACGCAGCAGUUGCAAAAAAUGUGAAGAACAAGGUUUUCUCCAUUGAUCUUGUUUCAGAUGAUCCUUCAGUGAUUGCUUGUGAUAUGGCUCAUGUAAGCACUGACAACCUAAUAUCCUAAUACAUUUUGAUGCAUCAAUUGAGCAAAAAAUGCUUUAUGUAUUUUUUUUAAUAUGACAUAAUUGCAUCUGUGUCGUGUUCACUGACUUAUAGGAAAUUGAAUUGUCAGAUGACUCAAAUAAUCAGAAUGACAAAUCAUAUUGUUCAUUGUUCUUGUUGAUGAUUAUGAUCUAUGCCUUCACUUCAUCAAAUGAGUUCCUAUGAUUUUUACCAUUUCUCUUUUUGAAUAUUUUUUAAUUCCUAAUACUAGUAACAUGCAAAUGAAUUAAUUUAUGACAUAGAACUUCCCUAUUACAACAGGCUGUUCAAAGGGAUCUUCUGUUUUUCCAUCAAGUAUUCUGGUUUUCCCUUGUAUGAACCCAGGAAUAUUCAAACUGAAUAAAAUGGGUGCCAAACCUUCAAUUGGUGUUCAAAUCAUUAAUUCAACUAAACAUUUUUUCCCACCUCUGCAGACACCAUUGGAGUCGUCCUCUGUAGAUGUUGCAAUAUUUUGUCUUUCUUUGAUGGGGACCAACUAUCCAAAUUACUUGGAGGAAGCAAAUAGGGUUCUCAAGCCAAGGUCUGCUUAAAUCAUUAGCUGCAGCAGCUCUUACUGCAAAGGGUUUGUGCCUCCUGUUUUCUUUACUGAUAGAUUUGUUUAUGCAGUGGUUGGCUUGUUAUUGCUGAAGUGCGAAGUAGGCUAGAUCCAAAUAAUGGAGGCGCUGAUCCUGAAAAGUUCUCUAAAGCCAUCAUCCAGCUUGGCUUUUCCCUUGUUUCAAAGGUUUGUAUCUUUAGUAUUUACCUCAGCUGAGUUAUUGAGUUGAAUUAUCAUGAUGAGGUACCUGUAUAAAUUUCCUACGAGUACUAAAACAUAUGCAUUGGUUCCCUACUGACCCAAUCAGUCUACCCUCCGUGUAUGUAAGACCGAUCGGAUGACCCAUUCAUGAGCUGAUAAAAAAGUAACUCAAAUGCUUGCCUUGAAUUUCUUCAAUUUGAGACUUUUGUUCACUUGCAGUUGUUGGCUGAAAAUCGAUAUCUCCUGCUUACUGUAGAAUAAAUACAUUUCAUUAGCAAUGGAGAUCCAUUCCAUUCACUGUUUAUUUGCUCCUGGUUUAUUUUUAUUGCGUGCAUGAUGUCUGACACAAGGCGUGUGUUUUAGUAAAAACCAAGUGGCCAGCACUGUAUUAUUCAUGUAUGUUAGUCCUGCAGAAUGAAAAUAACUGGGUACCCCUAAAUAUAUGGUGCUGCUAUGUGGCUUCAGUGCAUAGAUUAAUAGCAGAAUAGCAGAUUAUGACUCUUAGAACUAUACCCAUUGCGUCUUUGCAAUGUGAUUCAGAAACUAAUCAGCUUGUUGACUACUCUCUUUGCGGAGCUGAUAUUGUAAUGGUGGUUGUGAAAUGCUUGCAUUGAUUUGUGAUUGCCAUGUUAAUGGGCUCGGAGUUUGUUCAGUCCCUUUCAUUUUGGCACCUUACAUAAUUUCUGAUAUAAAAUGCAUUUUGUAUUGAUAAAAUAUUUCAUGUUAGCUAAGCUUCAUUUGCUUGGAAAUAGAUUCGUUUGAUCAUGCUUUCUAAUUGGUUGCUGGUAUCCUUUCUUCAGGACAUGAAAAAUAAAAUGUUCGUUCUGUUCUACUUCAGGAAAAAGGUUAGUUGCAACUUUUGCUGAUUACUGUCGCGCCAUGAUUCGGCCUUCACGCUGAGCUCAGUGGCUUGCCAUGACCCUGCAGGAAAAGAGUAAAGUGGCAAAGAGAAUCGACUGGCCCCAGUUGAAAGCUUGCAUGUACAAACGACGAUGAUCUCAUAUCCGCCCGUAAAACUGUAGUUGCACUGGACCUCUUGAAAAGUUACUUGAACCGAUGCAUCUUGUCUAGAUUAGAAGGUCUCUAUUGCCAGGCUUUGACACCUCUGUUUCGUGUUUCGUCCUAUUCUCACAUUGGCCGUGUCUUUUGUGUAUUGGACCUCGCAAGUGUGAUGCGAUGUGAUCCGGAAGUAAUAAGUUUAUAAUUUGCCGUGUGCGGACCAGCGGACGAAUCGUCCGGUCAAAUUUUGAUGCGCUUGUUUUGGAAAUCUUGAGCGUUCUCUCAAAUUUUGGGUGCCGAUCCAGCGUCUACAGAAUCGUGCAAUGCAUCAAUGCAUGUAGGGGUUACGAGGACGGAUCGCAUGCAGGAAUGUGAUCCGAUAUCCCGAGCAACACAAGAUUGCGGUUCUCUCGUGAGGCCAUUUGUUCACCAUCCGGCAUCAGUUCAGCGCCAAAGAAACAGCACAGACGCCUCAUCUCUCAACUAAACCUACUUCGCAAUGCCCCCUCCCGUCGGGCGGCGCCGCCGCCGCGGGCGUGCUCCUCCUCCCGGUCUUUCUCCGGCGAGUCGACGACCCUGGAUCGACAUUAACCGUCCCAUGGGGGAGCUAAGAGCCACUCUAGGUGAGCAGCCAUCUUUCUCUCUCUCAAUCUCACCCAGUUAAGGAUGAUGAAUGGAAACCCUACACCGGAUGCUGGUUCGACUGCGGUGAAUCAGGCACCGGGGAGGGCCUUUUAGCCUCGGAUUCGGAUCCAUUCCAGUUCCAGGGCUGGCUCCACGCUUUUGAUAUUCGGAUGAACGAUUGGUCUGCAUGCAUCCUUUUUUGGACCGCGCUAACGCGCGACGCUCGGCGCGAGCGCGCGACCCCCCAGAUCAUGCCAAUACCCUUGAAAAAUCCAUGCUAAUGCUACCACGUGUCCACCAAUUAGUUUAGGAAAAACUAUCAUAGCGCAGGUGAGCAGAACGUCGCCAUUAAUGGCGUUAGUGUUGGAAAAUUGGUUUCAUUUUCUUCAAAUUGCCAUAACUCUAUCCUAAGAUGUACUUUUUAAAAUCUACUUUUUAAAAUCCGUUCGCACAUUUAGACCAUGUUUGGUUCUUUCCACUUUAGUCCAUGGACUAAAGCGUGUUUAGUUCAAGUGACUAAAAGUGACUAAAACCAUUAAAUGUUAUGACANNNNNNNNNNNNNNNNNNNNNNNNNNNNNNNNNNNNNNNNNNNNNNNNNNNNNNNNNNNNNNNNNNNNNNNNNNNNNNNNNNNNNNNNNNNNNNNNNNNNAUGGUGGCGAGGGGCUGGGCGGGAGGGUGGGUGGGAGAGAGAGGGGGCAAUAAAUGAGUGGCAGUGGGAGUCCAGAAUUGGUUUUAGGACCUUUUAGGAGGGGUGGGGGGACUACAAAGUUUUGAGCCUCCUAAAAGUUUCAGUCACCUUUUAGUCCGACUGUUUGGCUCUUUAGUCAGUUUUUAGUUAUCUUUUAGUCACUAAAAUUUUAGGAGGUGGUAACCAAACAGAGCGUUAUAUUUCUUUAGACGAGAUCUACAAAAUAAGAUCCACGAUCGAUAUAUUUUAAACAAGUUAUAUUGAUUGUAAGUAGUAAUUUAUGUACAAACCGUGUAGCAACUUAUGCAUAAACUUAUAUACAGAUUAAUAGACGACUAAGGGAUAAGGCUACCCACGGGUCCCUACCGACCAGGAUACUGGUUGGCCCUGACAAGUGGGCUCACCCGACCAUACCGUGUGAACCAAGGCAUGAAGAUGUGUGGAGCACAAGCUCGGAGGCCGUGCGAACGGAUUCUGCCCGGAUAUUGCAUGAUAUUUGUUGUAGUUCGACUUAGAUUGCUUUCCAUGUAACAACCGACUAGGAUUGGAUCCUAUUCGAUUGCAAUCCUAGGUCGUCAGCCUAUAUAAGGUGGCUAGGGACGCCCCCCGAGGGUACGGAAACUUAACCCAAUGCACUUGCAAUAAAAUCCACAAGAACACAUGACUAGCACUACAAUCCACCAGAACACAUGACGUAGGGUAUUACUCUUCGGAGGCCCGAACCUGUCUAAACCUUGCGUCACUGUGUUACCAUUCGAGUUCUUUAUCUUGCGAUAUUCUCCGCCUAUAAAUUUACCACUUGGGUAACCCCAUGGUGGACCGCCGGUCACUAAAUCCGACAUCGGAUUGCAAUGUAACAACCUAUGUAGAUGCAAUGUAUCAAAAUUUUACAACGAUUACAUAUAGCAACUUUUGUUGUAUGCUACAAAUUUAUAGAGGCAAAUGUAUCUAAGUUAUAUAAAGAUUGGAUAACAAAUUGUGUGUAAAAAUAUUAUGUAGUAUGUAGUAACUUAUAUGGAGAUAACGUGAUAACUUGUGUAGAUACAUAACAACUUAUAGAGGUACACGAUACGAGGAAGGGUAAAAUUAUUUUUGUAACAAUUUAUAUACAUAAUUUGUUGAUAGUUUUACAUACAAGUUGCUACACACUUAACACAUAGGUAUCUACUGUACAUUUAAUAUAAGUUGUUAGUUUAUAAAAAUUAUUUUAAAAUAUAUGUGGAUCUGUUACGAUGAAUACAAUGGUGCGAACGAAAUUGAAAAUGGACAUCUCACUAGAAAGUUAACGCAUUUUUUUAAAGCAAAACACGAAACAAAAUACGUGGGUUACGACACCUACCCCUAACCAGACUGUAGCAGGCUGUGCCCGAUAACGCAUAAAAAUUGAGAGGGCGGCGGUUGCUCGGGCCAAAUCAAAGAGGAUGGCGGUUUGCUCGUGGGGGUCUACUGGGCGAAUCAGUUGCGUGAUUGCACUCCAGCGCGACUGGUCGGCAGAUAGACUUUUCCUUUUUUUCUCGGUAAUCCAGCUUGCUUGAUUUUGCUUAAAUAAUCCUGUGUUCGCAGGUGAUAGCUUUGUGGAUAAUUGUGGGGUUGUCUUGCUGCUGUUUGAGAAGCCCACUGGCUUCACAAUUUUUUGUUUUUAUGGCAUCCACCUCUACAGACCACACGCACUAGAAGUAAUUUGAUCUUCCGUCAUUGGUUGUCUAACGAUGCACUUGCUUCCUAGCUCAAUCUCUUCAUCUAUGUUGACCUAAUAGGGGAUGUUUGGUAGCACUCCACUCCACUCCAAAAAAACAACUUUACUCUACUAACUCCACAAAACUUCCUGCCAAACACGUCCAACUCCACAAACUACGGCUCCAGAAAAAACGUGGAGCUAGGUGUCAGAUCAACAUGGAGCUAGGUGUCAGAUCCAUGUUUUUCCUGAGUACCUUAGGGGGUGCUCCAAAAAUACCAAUUUCAUAUCUCCUCGUGAAGUUGGAGGUUAUUUACACACCAUUACCACUGGUUACACAACUUACCUCUUUGUUUCUAAUUUUUUAAUCCACUUGGCCUGUCGCUGUUUCCUCCCUCUUGCUGCUCGGUAGGGCGGGCCUCCCACGGCACUGGUGCCCACCGGAGUUGCCUGUUGGACCGCGACGCCGCUGCAUCCGUUGAACCGCGCCGCCGCCGACCGCGGGACCCGCUGCUGCCACCCCUAGGGCCGCGCGCCCCUGCCCAUGGGAUUGAGCCGCUGCCGCACCCUAUGCUUCUGCUGUGCCGGGGGAUAAGCUCGACUGGGGCAGCUAUGAAUGAGGAGGUCGAUGUUGGCAGAGGAGAGUGAAGGAGAGAAAUUAAAGGUGACUGUCACACGAGUCCUAUUUACAAGGGUAUAAUAGACUUUUCACAACAAGACCUCCUGUUUCUAAAGCUGGAUACAUGUUUUUUUUGCCAAAUAUGUGGACAACUCUAAUUUUUUCUUGGAGUUGGUGGGGUGGAGCUGAGGUGGAGUGGAGCUAAAAAAUUUGAAGUGGAGUACUACCAAACACCCCUAAGUCUUAUUUUUUUUUAUCCUUGUCUCCAGAGUACGUGGAAAGGGCAAACGAUGUGAGUGGUCAUCUUCCCUUCUCAGUUUUACCACUUAUUUCCUCAGUUGCUCGUCGCACAAAAUUGAUACGAUCGACAUGUUUUAUCCUCGUUUAUCACCUUCCAGUUUGUAUCUACUGAAUUGAAAAUAGGUCUAGGCUGCCCUGACCGAUACAUUGCAUGGUAUUUGAUUAUUUGUUUCUUUUUGCCCCUGAGUGUGCUAAUAUCUGUUCAUUUCGUUUAUCAGGUAGUUUGGCUGAAGGAAUUUCAAACUUUUGACGACAAGUCCAGUGCCAUUGGUGUUGGUAGUGGUGUUUCCAGACAGCUUGCUGAGAUGAUCGUGAAGUGGCAUCGCCCCGGACAUACAUUGGUUGUUGGAAAGAGGUAAUAUAAAUCAAUCAUCGAAUCAAGCUUGGUGAGUAUAAAGCUCCUUGUUUGCUUAUACCUACGAUGAUGAACAUUUUGAGCGCAAUUUUUGGUUGACUUCUUUCAGGGAAUACCUUGCCUGCAUGACGAAAUUGUGAUGGAGCUAAUGUGGGGCAUGCAGCGUUUCAUGAACAGGUUGGUGCGCAAAGAAAAAUCAGAGCUGCCUAAUGAGGUCUGUGUCCCUAUGAGCGCGCACUUGGACUCCUAAAUUUUCACAAGCCUUGGAUGCAAUCUUUUCUGUUUGCCUCUGCAUUUUUCUUUCAGUGAUGAAACAGCACUCUUUGUAUCUAGGUAAAAGAGCAAAGUGUCGUGACUGCAUCCGCCUUAUUUAACUGUGAUGCCUUAGAGGAGAAAGAGUACCCAGCCUUGCGCACUUUUGGUCGCUACCUUAAGGAUGUGUCUGGCAUUGAAUCCAAGAAUUGGGGCGCUCUGAAACUUGCAACUGCUUUUAAGAUCAUAUGCACCCAUGAAAUUGGUGAUGCAGAUGAGGUAGAUCAUACUUGCUACUCCUUCCAUCCCAAAUUACUGUUCGUUUCGAUUUUUCUUGAUAUAUAACUUUUGCUACGUAUCUAGACAUAAUAUAUAUCUAGGUGUAUAGUAAAAGCUACGUAUUUAGAAAACCCAAAACGAAUAGUAAUUUGGGACGGAGGGAGUAGUAGGUAAAAAUUGUGUUCUCAGCUGCUGCUUGCUAUGCAUUUCAUUUACACGUAAUGGGAGAGUCUUGUCUCGUCUCUUGCAGAUGUUUUCAAAAGAUGUACAAUCAAAGUUGCUGAGAGAUGCAGAUGGUUACAGAGGUAAGAUCAUAAAUUAUGGAGCUUGUUUGAGGACGUACCAAGCAUUGGUCUCUGCCCAUCGAUGCAUGACUCAAAACAACGGUGUAUUGGCCUCCUUGGUUAAGAAAGCUGAGGAAGCUCACCGAGCUGAACUAGUGGAGAAACCUUGCAUGUACAAGCGACGGCGACCUCAUAUCCGCCAGUAGAACUGCUGUAGUUGCACUAAGAUAUCUUGAAAAGUUACGUUGAACUGAUGCAUCUUGUCCAGGUUAGGUCUCUGUAUGCCAGGUUUUCCCACCUCUGUUUCCUUUUUCAACCUACUCCCUCAUUACCUGUGCCUUUGUACUGGACCUCACAAGUCACAGGAUCACUUGACCUAGUGGCUGGUGCAAUGCGAUGUGAUCCAGAAGCAGUUUAUAAUUUGCCCAUUCUGAAAUAAUAUCGUGCAAAUUUCGUACACGGUCCAGUGGGGGAACGCCCUGAGCAUCUUUUUUUUAUUCUAGCUAGGGUUUGUUUGAGAAUGGAGGCUCUUGUUUAGGGAAAUCUCGAGCGUUCACUCCAACUGUGGGCGCCCAUCCAGCCUUUCUAGAGGAAAAUUCCUCCCUAUCUACGUCUGAAGCGGUGGUUCUAGAUGCAGGUCACUUUUGACUUGGGAGGCCGGAGAAAACGACCAGUGCUGCGAGUGACCGUUGCUCCCACCGCGUUUGGAACUUUGGGUUACGUCCGCGACCCGUUCGUCCAUCCGCCUGCCACCUCCUGCUUCAACCGUAAGCAAAGCUCUGCGGCUGAGGACGAGGACUCGAGGUCCGUUGUACAGUUGAUGACAGAGAUAAAUAAAUGGCCGCCAAGCUACAGCUGCAUUCAGUGACGUCAUCGGCAUAAGGAACCAAAUCCUUGGCCUUGAUGAGCAUGAGCAUCGGAUCCAGACGAGUGGAAGGAGAGAAAUACUCCAUUUAUUUCAAAUUAUAAGUUGUUUUAGUUUUUCUAAGUUUAGAAUUAUAUAUAUAUCUAGGUGCAUAGCAAAAUCUAUAAAUUUAGAAAAGUUAAAAGGACCUAUAAUAUAAUUUAGGAUGAAGGAAGUACGUGGCAUAUGCAAACCUGAAUUGGAAUGAAAAGAAUGCACGGGUGGUGCUUGGGCUUGCGGUCGAUGGGCUGGGAUCCAUAUGCUAAUAAAUUGCAAUUAGGCUGUGUUAUUAAUUGUGAUAUCAUAAUAAUGCCUUGCCAAUAUUAAUGUUUUAAAUAGUGGGAUAUAGCAUUUAAUCGGGAGAUAUGCUAAGCCGCUAUAGCCCGCUGUUUGGUACAAUAAUAUUAUGUUGGCAACUGUUGUAAACUAUUAUAGCGCCGAUGGCCCUACUAUUUAAGAUAGUAAGCAAUAUCGAUAAGCGUGAUAUGAAAUUAGCAAGAAGAUAUUAUUGUUUUUUUAGAAAAAAAAUAAGGAAAGGAAAAUGGACGCAAAAUAGAGUGGCGGCCAGACUUUUUCAGCUUAAUUAACCUUGAUUAUUUUGAACAAGGAUGUUCAUCUAAAAGCUAUUUACUACAUAUUUUUAAUUCAGUUAUUCAACAUGAGCUCGAAUGGUUAGCGGAGGUGGUUGUACCGAUAUGUGUUGACAUCAUUUGUAUUUUCUUAGUAGUGUGGCUAUUUCUUUCAGUAUUACUAGGUUAUGGUGGUAACUGUGUUUGAUAAUUUCAAUAUCUGCUGACAGAAUCCCUUGUCGACAUUUUCAGGGUAAUUACGCGCGAUUGCACAGGCAUGGGAUCGGAGCGCCACUAUCCGUACUACUUCGUACGAAACGUAGAACGUGUCCAUACUUCGUGCAAAACGCAAACUCUGGCUAGUCACAAACUCACAAACCGAGCAAGUACGAAAACAAGUCAAACAUUAAAAAAAACAAAAUAAACAAAUGCCCCACGAGCACCACCCUAAUCCCAAGAAAUCCGUCCGUGCUCUGCAUCCGCCAAGUGCCCCCUGUCAGACGCUCGGACCAGGCAUUAACAAACCGAUUAGCUCGACCAAGCCAUGAUUAGGCGCACGAAGGCAGAUCCCGCGUGCUGCUUCGCGCCACCUUCACUCUCGGUUCCUCGCACUCGCACACGGCACAUCCACAUCGAUCCGCUCCCUGCGACCGCACGUCGCCAUCGCUCGAUCGCCACGCCCUCUCUCUCUCUCUCUCUCUCUCUCUCUCUCUCUGGCUGGCCAGAUUCCAAUCAUGAGCGAGCAGAGGGUUACGUGUGCAGGGCCUGCCUCAACAUCAUAUCAUAUUGUUCAAGGCGCGCGCGGCGGUGAAUAUUUUUAUUGGUAGAGGCAGUGUCUAUUAGCUGAGCUCGAUCGUCUGGAGCCGAUGGGGUUGACGCUCACCCGAGCCAGGGGUUUUUUCGAUUAUCCUAUGGCGAGUCAACGAUCUCACCACGCGGGAGGAUAUUGAAAACAACUGUAGAGAAAAACAGUUUGCUUGCGUCGAAAAAAUGUAGGAGGAGUGCUACUUUGGAACAAGAAUAACUUGAGCGUGCAUGGUCCUGGCUAACCAUUUUCAUUUUCAUUGUCUUGUAAUUUGUAAAUUAUUUUAAAAAUGUUAUCAUCGAUGCGUUUUACAGAUUAAAAAUAUUAUUUGUAAUCUGGUGCGCCUGAGCUCAAUCGUCAUCUAUGAACACAAGAGUUUCCCAGCACGAAGAGAGAAGUACUACCAACAAUUUCCCCGAAUAGGAAGUUGUAAAUAUCGAUUGUGGAAAAUCUGGUGCCUAAUGGUCAAUUGUAGCUAAAUGGUGCUUUCUACAUUUUUUUUUAGACGCUCAAACACACAUGGUACUGCCAAAUAAGACAAUUAGUCGUUGUUAUCAUAAUAGUCUAUGUCCCCUCUUUGUUUGUUUUUCCCCCUCUAGCCAUAUCUUGAAAAAUAGUUUAAUCCCCUGAACCACGGGCCCGAUGAUUAAAGAUUAGGGAUGAUUAAAGAUUAGGGAAGCCAAUCUGAUCUGUUCGUUGGCAUGUUUGGACCUUUUGCACACCCAUCGUUUUCAAUCCCCAGUUUCGCGCACAUCUUGUGACACCAAAUUGCCAUUUCUACCAACACUGCUUCUACCCUAUCAAAUCCUAUUGUUUGUUUGCAUACUUAAGUGCUUGGUGACCUUGACCGCACGAAUCUGCAAUCCUUCACUAUUUAUUACAACCAAUUCCAGUAUGAAAAAAGAGAGGUUCCAUACCGGUAAAAUGUUGAAUCGGUCCUCCCAAGAAGUUAUCAUGUUUUGUACCAUAGAAACAUAGUAUCAUUUAACCACAUACUCCGCUGAUGUAGAAUAUUUAUUGUAUUUGAGCUCACACUACAUCUUCUAUAUUUUUUUUAGACCUGAGCAAAAUCAUUUUUUGCAGAAAUUCACUAAACCAGGCCGGCAUGUGUUGGUCCAAAUCGUGCCAAAUCUGCUAGUUAUAAAACUGCUUGACUUAGUAAUUUGCUUAUAUACUCACUCCGUCACAAAUUACUAUUCAUUUUUACUUUUGUAGAUACAUAACUUUUGCUACGUAUCUAGGUGCAUAGUAAAAGUUAUGAAUCUAUAAAAGCUAAAAUGAAUAGUAAUUUGGGAUGAAAAGAGUAUGUUUUAAAGAAAGUUAAUGAGAUAAAAUCUGUCUACCAUGUAUCACUCACUCUAACAAAUUCAAGGCAUGUUUGGUGAGAUAAAAUCUGUUUACUAGCUAUCACUCACACUCUAUAGCUAGCUACUCCCUCCGUCCUAAGUUACUAUUUAUUUUAACUUUUUUAAGAUGCAUCACUUACUUUUACUACGUAUUAACAAAUAAUAAUUUGGGGGCGGGGGGAGCAUUGGCUACUGUGGUUACUGUUGGAGACGCCUAACAAAUCUGCGGGAGGAAAAAUGGGAAAUCGGAGUACGGGGAAGAAGAGUCGCGGCAAGUCAAAUGCACUUCUUCCUUCAGUGUACGCUCCCUUCUCCCGUUUACCUCUCCCCCACUCUCUCGUGGCCGUGUUUCCUGGCGGCGACGGCUGGGCGAGACGCGCCGCCCAAGUCUUCGUCGGUCCCGUUGCCGGCGACGAGCACCCACCAGGUACGCCCUUCCUUUCCCUUCCCUUCUCUUCCCUUCUCGCUGUGCGAAACCGAGCUCCCCAAACCCUAUUGUAAGCUAUUUGUACUCGGAUCUCCUCUCCAGGCCUUCCCCAUCCCUUCCUCCCUCGCUCUCCCUCAGCCUUCCUUUCCUAGCGGCGACGACCCCGUGGCCAGUUCUUCGCCGGGCGCUUCGCCGCCGCCGAGCAUCCGACAGGUAUGCCCGCCCAUUCACUUCCCUUCCUGCUGUGCGAAAUCGAACCCCCAAAGCCUAAGGUGUACUAAUUCUCUUCGGAUCUGACCAUGUAUUUUACCUGGUAACUUCGAUAUUUUUGCAAAAGUAUCCGGCGUACAUGUGUACACCCAUGUCCUAUACGGCUAUGCUGGGUCCGCCCUGCUUGUGAUGCAAUGCCACGGGCAAUUCCUUUUCUAAUAUAGAUGGUAGAAAUGAGGGGAAAAAACAGUGGCUUGGUUUUAAAUUGCCGUAGUUUUGCGCCGGACUUGCAUUCAAACAGCUCGCUGGUUCAGUAUGGGUGGCCCUGCAUUGUCACUGUUUAUGGAAUUUUAUUAGGUUUCUAGUAGUUCGUUCUUUUAACUUCUCUUGCUGUGGUCAAGGUCCUAGCUGGUUCUUUUUCACUAGGAGCUCAGGGGAAACUAUUGUGGCGUGUGAGCAUGUUGUGGAAUUUAGUUGGAUACGCGCGAUCAUUCGAUUGCAUCCAUUUACGAUGACGUGUUCUAUUUUUGUACCUUUUCUACCAAACUUGUGAAUGAUUUGAAAGUAGAUUUUGUCGAUAGUGCACAGCCAUUUCCAGUGAGGUGUUCUUAACGUGUACCGAGCUGUUGUCUAUUCAUCAAAUUCUGCUUUUGGAAGGUACUGGAUUGUCGGUAUAAAUUUAUACCCAGUUGUCAUGUACACACUGUCACUUGAACAUAGGUUAUAAGGCACAACUUAGAAGAAGACCCAUAUAUUUGAUGAAUUCUACCUUCUUCUAGUAUCCAAAUGUACUGAUGUAUUAUGAACAACCCUGAUAGCUUCUAUUGGUACAGGUGUAAACUAUCCUGUGUAUUCGACAAAUUCUACCUUUUGAAUUUAUUGAAAACGAAAUAUAUAUACCUAAUGAGGUAUUCCACCAUCUGUUCCCACUAUUUACUUCUACCGUCUUCCAUUUCUUUUCUUGGAAUGUCACAAUUUGUAGAAUGCACGUGACCCUACCCAUUUCCUGUAAGGUGCUCUACUCGUGAGCUAUCCAACGUUGGAAUACUUUCUGAAAGUAAAUUUGUCGAAUUCGCAAAGUCUCAGCCUUUUUACCUAUAUGUUCCGUGAGGUUUUCUAUCUGUGCUUAUACCUUUCUAACAAACCUCGAGUACUUUCUAAAAGUUGGUCUUUUCUUUAAGUUUGCAGUGGGGUCGUGUGACCCCACAGGACCCAGAUCAGAUAAUUGCCAUCAAGGAUGGAAUCUGGGAGUUCGUUCUACGCUGGUGAAGGUCUCUCCAUCGAUCCUAAGUGGCUUAUUGACCCAAAGCUUCUCUUUGUUGGGCCGCGCAUCGGUGAGGGUGCACACGCAAAGGUCUAUGAGGGGAAGUAAGGCUCAUCUUUUUGAACUACCAUCUGCAAUUUUCUGAUCUUUGAUCGAUUUUCUUCUAGUUGAGCAUUUAUUUGAUGCUGGGAUUGGCAGGUACAAGAACCAAAAUGUUGCCAUCAAGGUUGUGCACAAAGGGGACACCCCUGAGGAGAUGACCAAGAGGGAGGGGAGGUUCUUGAGAGAGGUGACCAUGCUGUCAAGGGUGCAGCACAAGAAUCUCGUCAAGGUCUACUUUUGCAGCGUCAUGUCUAUUCUUUCCUCAUCAAGGAGAUGACCAAGAGAGAGGAGGUUUUUAAUGCAUUUGUGUACUGAAAACAAUGUCUGCUUGUUUAACAGUUUAUCGGAGCCUGCCUAGAACCUGUCAUGGUGGUGGUGACAGAGCUUCUAGUUGGUGGCUCAUUGCGGAAGUACUUGGUCAGUCUCAGGCCUAGGAGCCUUGAGCCCCGUGUAGCAGUGGGCUUUGCGUUGGACAUUGCCAGAGCUAUGGAAUGCUUGCAUGCACAUGGGAUCAUUCAUCGUGAUCUUAAGCCUGGUAAGACUUGUUUUUUUUUCGCGAUCUGAUCAUCUUGUGCUCUCUAUUAUUCACUGCUUAUUUGGUGAAUUUCUGCAAACUAUGGAUAAUACCGUUUUCUUUUCUCCAUGUUUACUGUGCAUGUGUCAUUAAUUCCUCUGGAAAAAUUAUUGACUACUUCUUGUUUCUAACAGUUGAUUAGUUAAUUUUAUAGUCUAAUAUUAAUCUUUAAAUGGCAUUUGCGUGGGUCUAGCUCAGGAUGGAAAUGUGCCAUAUAGUAACUUGCGGGAUGAGAAGCUUCUUCUCCUUGCACUAUCACAUGCUAUAUCUGACAAUAUUUGGCUUUGCUUACAUGUAAAGAAUCUAUAAUUUCGUGCUGGUGCUGAGUAAGUGAUGCGUAGUUUCCUUGGCAUGGUCGUAUAGGUUGCAUUGCUAAUUUUAUAUCUAGCACAUUCUUUGAAUAAUUUAAUAUGUUUUGUUUAAUUUUUAUGGUAAAUUCUUGCCAUUGCAUGUUAUUGAGAUUGCAGAAAGUGCCACAUAAUUCUUCUUUUAAAAAAGCUGUCUUUUUCAGUUUUGGUGACUAUAAAAACAGUGCCUCCUUUAGUUCUGUUGUAUAUUCUGAUAUGUUGAUUAUCAAGUUUUUUUCCCAUUAUGUACACCAUCUUAUUUUAUAAGUUGUGAUACGAUGCAUUUUUAUUUCUGCUACCACUAUUCCCUUCUAAGAUGAAGUCCAGAUGGUAAGUACCGUCAGCAUUGUAUACUCACUUUACCAUGGUUAUCCAAGGACCUUUUGUCCUGUGCUUGUUAUCAUUUUAUUGUAGUGUGAUAUAGGUUCUAUGGUGGAUCUUAAUAAUUCAUAAGAUUAUUAUGAUGCUGAUAUCAGGAAGCUUACUAAGUACCCAAAAUAAUGUUUUAACAAAACAAAAUGAUAUCUUCAUAGCAGUUCAAGGGUUUUCUUGGUGAGCCUCUGUUGCAGACACCUGUUUGAAGCUGUUGACUUUGAUGUGUUUGGAUGAAUUCAUAUGUGGAUGUACUCAAGUUUGAGUUUGUAAUGAUUCCUUAUAGAGAAGUUUAGUCAUCUUCAGUUAUGAUAGUCAUGCUUCAAGUGUGGAUUAUUUUGUAUGGGGAUUCCGACAGGCUAACAGCACAUGAUCGUGCUCAGUUCAGUACUUUGAUGUAUAAUGAAGCACUAUGCUGGCCACAAAUAUAGAUAAUGCUUGUAUAUCCAACUAGAUAGUUGAUGACUGGUCAUGGAUAUAGUUCUAUAGGUAGCCUCUACUGCAUAGUUAGUACUCCCUCCGUUGUUAAGUAUAUGGUGUUUAGGACAAGCUAAUUAGCUUGUCCUAAAUGUCAUAUUUAAAAACGGAGGGAGUAUUAAUAAAUUUUAGUUUUGGAUUUAGUUGGUAUAGUAUGCAACAACUUAAAGCUGCAAUUUGUGUUGUGAUUCUACUGUAUAAUUUAUCGACAAAACAUUUAGAAAAUUACUUGUGUCUGUAUCUCAGAUCAGAUAUGUUCGAUCCAACAAUGCAUAUUUUUAAUUAUUUGAAUUAUUGAAGCAUCAGUAGCAUAUUGUGGGAAACAGUUAGUUUUUAAGGACUUUUCUGUCUGUACAUUCAUCUUUUGGAGCUAAUCUUUUCUCUCAAGUCAUUCCUUAAUGAUCUGCCUGACACGUGUUUAUUCAGACAAAGUUGAUCUUGUGUCCAUUGUUUUCCCCCUUCCCUUUUUGCAGAAAAUUUGUUGCUGACUGCAGACCAGAGAACAGUUAAACUUGUCGAUCUUGGUUUGGCUAGAGAAGAGACAUUAACAGAGAUGAUGACUGCUGAGACAGGAACAUACCGUUGGAUGGCCCCUGAGGUUUCUAUUAUUCAUUCAUAUCUGUCAAAUUCGGGAUCCUUUGUUUUCUGUAUUAUUUUUGUUAAUGUAUCCUGGAAUGUCUCAACAGCUGUACAGCACAGUUACGUUGAGGCAUGGAGAAAAGAAGCAUUACAACCACAAAGUGGAUGUUUACAGCUUUGCAAUUGUGUUGUGGGAACUCCUACACAAUAGACUGCCCUUUGAGGGAAUGUCUAAUCUGCAAGCUGCAUACGCUGCUGCUUUCAAGGUAACAUCUGAUACUUUAAUCAUUAGCCAUUAUCUAAAAUAAUUGUUGGAGGGCGUCCCUGGAUUGUGUUUGCUUGUGUAUGUUUAUAUAGGCAUAUAUCUCACAUGGUGUUUCCAGUAUGUUUUAUCACAUGAAUUUCUUUUGUAUUUGACCAGAUGAAAGCCUUAUUUUCUGCAGAACAUCAGACCAAGUGCAGAUAACUUGCCUCAGGAGUUGUCAGAAAUACUAACAUCCUGCUGGAAGGAAGACCCAAACGACAGACCAAACUUUACCCAGAUAGUGCAAAUGCUCCUACAUUACCUAUCCACCCUCUCGCCACAAGAAACCUUGGCCCCUCGCCGCACAUUCAGUUCAGAGAACGCAAUCCUGCCUCCAGAAUCUCCCGGGACAAGCUCGCUAAUGCAUUCUCGGGGUGAUGACACACCAAAGGGCAAGAAGGAAGACAAGCCAAGGGGCUUAUUUUUCUGCUUCAGCGAGUGCUAUUAGAACAACCCCAACACUACUCAAGAAGCUGCAAAUACUGAAAGAAAACAUCACCCCCAGAUGCGCUGUGACAACCGAUCGAUCGAGUCUCAGCACAACCAUAGUCCAUACCCCCGAAGAAUGGCGGAAGUUGUAGUCGAACUGUUGUUUCUGCUAAUCAGGUCUCCCGCAUCGCUGACAUGUUGACAUAUCAGCAGGGUAAAUCGAGUAACCUUUUGACUCCAGAAUAGUAACGGUGGAAAUAGCUUAUCCCCCCUGUAUUUUCGGUGAACCAUGGUAUCAUGGAGUUACUGCUGCGCGCUUAGAUUGCCCGUCUCGCGCGCCAAUCGUAUAGAAAUAAACCAAUAAUUCGCAUUUUCAUCAGUCUCUCUGGUGCAAAGCCUGCAAAGGAUACUGGGAGCUGUCUGUUCUGUGUAGCACUUUGGUGUUCUUGCCCUGUCAGUGCUGUUAUGUUGGGAGUUCGAUCCCAGAUUCCCAGUAGAACUUAUGGUCCGGUCCUAUUCAGUGCCUUCUAUUUGGCAUGGUCGGACUUUAGGAUCCUUUUGUUUACGACGUCAUCAGUGUUCUUCUCAAUAUAACAGGGCAGGUCUGUCAGUGGUUUCUUUUUUUUCCUUCCCUUUUUUACUGCAGGACCGACCGGACUCUAGCUAGGAUCUGUGGACAUAACUGCAGUUUUAUGUGCAAGUCUGCAAUGUAGAUUACGAGGUGUGUACUUGAAUGAAAUCUGCAAGUUGUUUUGGGAGCCCAUUCCGUCCACGUCCGGCGAGGCGAGGGGCCGCCGGGCCCGGGGAGAAACAGCGGCGGACACGGACGUGAAGGGGGUCACGUCUGUCUGCCUGUGCCUGUGCGUCGCGGCCGUCGACGAAGAAUCUGCGGCCAGGCCACCCGGAUCAUGCGCCGCGGGCAUCGGAGAUUGACUAGGAAGGCUCUCCACCUCCUGCCCUGAAAGGCUGAAACACAGAACCAGUCAACCAGUGCGCCUAGGAGCAAUCUGCCAAUCUAUUUGUAGUCGAUACAACACAAUUCAUUAUCAAUCUCUGAAUAUCAAAUGACAUAAAAAAUCCUACUGCCCAUGUAUACAACUUCGGCUUGCGCGCGUGUACUUUCGGUAGUGUGUGACCAUGCCAUGCGCCAAAAGGGCUUAGCUAAAAUACUACGUUGCCGGUACUCCGUAGGAGAACACUGGUUUACUUAUAUUAUAGAAUAUGAUUCUGGGAGACAUUUUUAGCCUCUGGAGACUCGAGCGGUGUGACAACAUCGGGCGAGGCUUCACAGCACCGCAUGUCAGCAAGUGCUUCCUUCGUGUCCCGUGGAGCGCAGGAGGAAACGGAGCGGGGAUCUCAGCAGGUCUGUGCGUGUUCGUGGGAUCCGCACGGGCGGCAGCAUAUCCAACCAAACGGCUGCUCUCUCUUCGUGCGGGGCCUGGCCGCCUGGGCCAACCGGGUGCAUCUUGCCGAGCCUGCUGCGCGCGCGGGCUGGCUGGGUCCCUUUCCCCUUCCGGUUCCUUCCUCGCGGCUCAACUCGCGCGAGAGCGUGUUCGUGCACGAAGCACGGGAGGGCAGGCCGCAGGCGCGCAGGGCGAGUCUAGUUAUGGGCGAACAGCGCGGCCAGCUUUUUCUGCUGACGUUGUUCCCGGGCUUUGGACAGAGGUGGAUUGGAAGGAAGGAGAUUAGGUUUAAAAUGAACUAACUUCUUCCUCAGUACCUCCCAUUGCACCUCAAUCCACUUCCAAACAAGCCAGCAAUCCCUCUCUUUGUUAGGUAAGAGCUAGGGUAGCACAAUAGACCUGAUCAUUUGAAUCAGGUUGCGAUCGAUUUGCGUCGUGAUUGAUCUGUUUCCAAUUUUCACAUCAAUCUGUGCAGCUUGAACAACUGCUCGAAGAAAAUACGAAGAAAUGAGAGAAAUGAAGGGCGCACUGAAGAACAUGCAUGUGUUCUAACCCUGGCUGGUCUAGAUGGAGAAGCGAGGGCACUCACAACCCUCACAACCCUCCUACUAGGAUAGUUUUCAUAAUAUUAACGGAGUGUCAUGUUAGCAAUUUGAUGAUAUGGCAGUAUGGCAGUGUAGUUAUUGAGGAAAGAGGAGGACUCGGUUUCUCACGUGGGAAACGAACUAUACUCGCGCCCCAAAGCUCGUAGAAACCACCAAAAUCACGUUGGGCGAUUCUUCUCGUUUCCUUCCUCGUUUUGCCCCCCUCCUCCAGAUCUGCUGCGCGCGCCCCUCCUCCCCGCUCCGCCGCCGCGACCCACCCCCGCGCGCAUUGCCCCCUCUGCGACGGCGCGACCCACCCCCGCGCGUGCAUCGCCCGUCCCCAAGCCUUCAAUCAACCAGUGAGAACACACAUGACAUGUAACGUACUCCCUCUGUCCAGAAAAAAAUAUAGUGUUCUAGCAUUCUUCACACAAACCAAUAAAUAGAUAAAAUCACAUAUGCACUCCUACUUCAAAUAAUAUAUCAUCAUAUAUAAAACUCCUACUUCAAAUAAUAUAUCAUCGUAUAUAAAACUCCUACUUCAAAUAAUAUAUCAUCAUAUAUAUAAAACAAUAUUUUAAAUAGAAGACAAGAUCAAGCAUCCUUGCACUUAGCACUCACAACUUAAAUUGCUAUGUGCACGCACGCAACUAAGUGCAUGCUUAGAGUUGCAAUUUUUAUUUUACAAAUUUUGAAUCUUAACAAGUAGGACAACAAGAUACGUCCAAAAACUCAUCUCCACGAACGAGGAUGCAUGUACUGAUCGGGAUCGACGGUCGUAUCAUUGAUUUGCGCGCUCACCGAACGUACAGUUCGUUCUUCAUUGCGGCUAGCUGCACGUCUAGCUAGAUGCUCGAUCGGCUCCGAUCCGUCGGCCGGGUCAACCCUAGCAAGCAGACAUGCAUGGCUGUUGCGCACCAGCUGCUAGCCUGCUAGCUGCUUGCGGCGCGCGCAUGCACGACACUACGACAGGGCAGCACGCGAUGCAGUACGCGUGUACACCCAGUCGCCUAGAAACAACAGAACAGAACCCCGUAGACGCUGCUAGCGUGCAGCAAAGCUACGCGGUUGCAGCGCGCAUGCAUGGAUGUGGCUGUGGCUCCGAUCAACUCUAGCUGACCAGUAUGGCCAGCUUCCAGCUACUAGCACUCCUCUCUCCUCGAUCAGGUUCCUGUGCCUGCGUGUGUGAGAGCUUUUGUCUCUGGCUCCCUGCUCAUAAAUGGGGGCUCUCUGCUUGGCGCCUUCCCCUUGUUGUUAUCACAUGCCUGCAGGCAUGCUCCGUGCAGCCGUGCAGGUGCAGCGAUAUGCUGCUUGCUGCCGCAGCGCGGCACCGGGCAUUCCCGCCCACUGCAGACUGGCCGGUCACCUUCUUCUCCGAUCCCCGCUCUUCCUCUCCCUGCGUUGCCGCGCGCCGUGUGCACCGGGAACCGAGACGGGGGGACAAGGAGAUCAAGGCUCUGUCCCCGCAUGCACGAUCCAAAGGCUGCAAGGUGGAAGCCGGAAGCUCUGCAUGGUCGUCUCUGCCAUGCAAAAGGCUCUCUCUAGCUUUUUGUUUCUGCCCAGGCCCAGCCAGCUAUCGCCUAUAGUACCCCGAAAGCCUUUUCCAUACUCCUGUGUACUCCGGUUAAAAUCUUGUACAGUUGUACAGCUAUGGAGACACAAGUGACCGAAGGACAAGGAGACAAGGAGUACGUAAAACAAGCCAAAAUUUUCAGAAACGAACAGUGUCAGGACUCGGGACCUUCCAUGUACUGCCUUCUACUCUAUGCGUAGGAACAGUGUCGUCCUCCGGUGUCCGGUACUCCGGUCCUCCUCCCGUUUCUUGAAGAGAAACUCACACGGGAAAGGUAUAUACAUGUGACCCUAUUUCUCAGAAAACAAAAUAAAAAGAGAAAAGUUCUCCUACAUUCGCAUAACGCCACGAAUUCCCGUUACACCCCCCCCCCCCAUAAAUCCUACGGGAACGGUGUACGCGCGCGCGAUUCGUACGUGUGGCCGGCGGCGGCUACAUGCUACUCCGAUCGAUCCUACUGGCGCUGGUUUGGAAUGUGGUGGGGGAUCGGUGGGGGAAGUAAAUGUGGGGUAGUGGGAGCGAGGGCCUGCUAAUGAUGAGGCGAUUAAUUCCAUAAACAGCCUGCCGCGCGCGCAUUGGCCUCCCAGCAGCGGCUGGCCGGCUACCACUGCAGCUCCGACUCCGAUCCAUGGCGCGCGCUAGCUGCGUCCAUUCCAUAGCCGGAUAGCCCCGUCGGACGAAUUAUUACAGUAACAGAAGCACCUUCCUUCCACUAACCACCCGCACUUUAAUUGCGGGGUCGAGGCUGGCAGGGGCUUGCAUGCCUCGUUUCUGCAAAGAUGAUCGGGCAUGUUCAUGUCGCGCUUCGAUUCGUAUGCUUCGAGUUGGACUAUGCGUCCCUACGUGCAUUGAUCUCCGUGACUGCACGACCUUUUGCGUUGCGGAUUGAAUAUUAAAAUUGUACUUUGCCAAACAAAAGGUCAAACUUCAGCGGUAGUCCAAUUGGCCAAUUUGCUGUUUUGCAAACGGAUUCUUUUCUCAAUAUAGUACUUCACAGAAUCAUUUCGAAAGUCCUACAAACCUACUACUUUCAGACAUGAAAAUUGCGACAAAUAUGCCUGGAAUUUAAGACAUGAAACUACUACUUGCAAACUACUUCCAGUGAAACCUACUGUUUUUAGUGAUGGAGCACACUCACUUUGGUUUGAGUGUCUAGUACUUGCAUUCUCAAAUUAUUCUUUCAAUGGUAGUUAGGUACCUCUCAAAUAACUGUAUUAUGUUUAAAAAUGACUUUCUUGUAUCCCAUUUGCAAAGUAUAAUACAUUGUACUUAUGAUCCUCACUUUGAUUCCCGUCAAAAAGCCUUCUUUCAGCAUACAUGCUGUUGAAAAAAAGUUGACGGCGGCCUCGAUCUGAACCUUCAUCGCUUCAUCGCUGACGGCAAAUCCACAUCUUCACCGCUGACAAUGGCCUCAGCCCUAGAUCCGCGGGGCCAGCUUCGUUCGCGGCUUCUACCUGCACGCCUUCAGAUCUGUCAGCAGAAGUUGAUUUCUGGUAAUGCCAUUCUCCGUAUGAAAUUUCAUAUUUAUAUUUCCAAAAAUGACACAUAAGCAACAAUGUACCCCUAGAGCGUGCACCCUCCGCCUCGGUUGCCUCGUCGGCGGCCGCGCUCCUCGACACCGGUGAGAAAGGGACAUCCUGAGUGGCUCGAUUGAGAGCUCUGCCUCCACCGUGCAGCUCAAAAUUGAUGGUGCGAUCUAACUUGGCCGAGCACUAGUUCGAGCAAAUUUUCAGCAGUUUUGUGCUCCAAUUUCAUGCUUGGAUCGAAAACAUGAUCGGGAUGGUUGUACCCGAACAGCAUUUUACAGGUGCAAAAGAAAAAUCGAUAGUAUUCUUGUGCACAAGAUAUUACUAGGGGAAAUGUUUUACAGGUAAAAAAGAAUGCGAUAUUGCCAAACAGGGCCUUGGGCUGGUAUCGCCUUGCUCUAAAAAUGUUCAGCUAGGGGCAUCCACAACGGGUCGUUAAGGUGUGUCAAUAGCAGUCCAUGUCGGAGAGAGGAGAGGAGAGAGAGAAAACGUCGCUAGACGUAGCGACUCUCGCUAGCACGCAAAUCCACGCCGCGGGUCCCACGAACGCAGAUUCCACCCGUGCCGAGCGGGAGGGAGGCGGAGCCCGGCCUCGCAUGAUCCGAUGCAGGCUGCCUCCGGCGAUGGCGGGUGGAGCACGGCCGCAGCGGUGCCGCCACGGGCUGGGGGGACGGAGCUUGGCCGCCGCCGCCGAGCAGCCGGGUGGAGACGAGCUGCGCCGGUCGCCGUCUUUUUAGCACUGGCCCGACCGGUGCCGAGACCACCACGACGGUGGAGGUCGGCUGGGUGACGACGAUGGGGAGGGGAAGCCAGCGCAUGGAUGGCGAGGAGGUGGAGACGGCAACGGCGGAUGCGGCCAAGGUAGAGCGGGCAUGGCCGUCGGUCAUGCGCGGAGACGAGCAUGGCCGCCGGUGCGGGCGGGGGAGGANNNNNNNNNNNNNNNNNNNNNNNNNNNNNNNNNNNNNNNNNNNNNNNNNNNNNNNNNNNNNNNNNNNNNNNNNNNNNNNNNNNNNNNNNNNNNNNNNNNNNNNNNNNNNNNNNNNNNNNNNNNNNNNNNNNNNNNNNNNNNNNNNNNNNNNNNNNNNNNNNNNNNNNNNNNNNNNNNNNNNNNNNNNNNNNNNNNNNNNNNNNNNNNNNNNNNNNNNNNNNNNNNNNNNNNNNNNNNNNNNNNNNNNNNNNNNNNNNNNNNNNNNNNNNNNNNNNNNNNNNNNNNNNNNNNNNNNNNNNNNNNNNNNNNNNNNNNNNNNNNNNNNNNNNNNNNNNNNNNNNNNNNNNNNNNNNNNNNNNNNNNNNNNNNNNNNNNNNNNNNNNNNNNNNNNNNNNNNNNNNNNNNNNNNNNNNNNNNNNNNNNNNNNNNNNNNNNNNNNNNNNNNNNNNNNNNNNNNNNNNNNNNNNNNNNNNNNNNNNNNNNNNNNNNNNNNNNNNNNNNNNNNNNNNNNNNNNNNNNNNNNNNNNNNNNNNNNNNNNNNNNNNNNNNNNNNNNNNNNNNNNNNNNNNNNNNNNNNNNNNNNNNNNNNNNNNNNNNNNNNNNNNNNNNNNNNNNNNNNNNNNNNNNNNNNNNNNNNNNNNNNNNNNNNNNNNNNNNNNNNNNNNNNNNNNNNNNNNNNNNNNNNNNNNNNNNNNNNNNNNNNNNNNNNNNNNNNNNNNNNNNNNNNNNNNNNNNNNNNNNNNNNNNNNNNNNNNNNNNNNNNNNNNNNNNNNNNNNNNNNNNNNNNNNNNNNNNNNNNNNNNNNNNNNNNNNNNNNNNNNNNNNNNNNNNNNNNNNNNNNNNNNNNNNNNNNNNNNNNNNNNNNNNNNNNNNNNNNNNNNNNNNNNNNNNNNNNNNNNNNNNNNNNNNNNNNNNNNNNNNNNNNNNNNNNNNNNNNNNNNNNNNNNNNNNNNNNNNNNNNNNNNNNNNNNNNNNNNNNNNNNNNNNNNNNNNNNNNNNNNNNNNNNNNNNNNNNNNNNNNNNNNNNNNNNNNNNNNNNNNNNNNNNNNNNNNNNNNNNNNNNNNNNNNNNNNNNNNNNNNNNNNNNNNNNNNNNNNNNNNNNNNNNNNNNNNNNNNNNNNNNNNNNNNNNNNNNNNNNNNNNNNNNNNNNNNNNNNNNNNNNNNNNNNNNNNNNNNNNNNNNNNNNNNNNNNNNNNNNNNNNNNNNNNNNNNNNNNNNNNNNNNNNNNNNNNNNNNNNNNNNNNNNNNNNNNNGCCGCGAGACGACCGUGGGCGCAGAGGCGGAGCAGCCCGGCGGCAAUGUUUCUGGAUGAGACGGAGAGGAUGAGGAAAGUAAAAUAAAUUGGAACGCGGGACCCACAGGUGAGUGGCUUAAAGAUAAACUGUUGAAGCAGUGGCCGUUUGUGCUGUAUACAAGCUGAGGUGGCAAUGACACCUACUCCCUCCAUCUAGUUUGACAGGAAGUGUUAAAGUUUAACACUCUACUUUUAACACAUUUUUAUCACAUUACCUCCCAAACACAUGUGUUAAAAGGGAUGUGUUAAAAGUUUAACACUCACAAUUUCAUAAACACCUCGAGGGGGUGUUAAAAGUUGUUAAACUUGUUAAAAAUAUCCCCCUCUCGACUUUUUUCCACCAUUGCCCCCUUUUCUCUCCUCCUUCUCUCUCCGCCGGCCAUAAAUGAGGGGGUAAUGUAGUCAUUUUCCACUAAAGGUGUUAAAGUUUAACACACCAUCCAAACAUCUAAUGUGUUAAACUUUAGCACUCCAUUUGAGAGUGUUAAAACUUUAAAACUAGUUAAACUUUAACACAGGGUAUCCAAAUAGGCCCAAAGAGUAUUCCUAUAACCUUCAGACAAUCCAACAAAAGCUCUCAUAAUAACUUUUGAUUCAGUUAACGAAACGAUCACUUACUUCCACAAUCGAUGCCCGAGUCAAAUUCACUAAAUAAGGAAGGCUAAUAGGUCCGACAAUUAUUGCAAGCGUGCCUGCAUAAUUAAUUCUACUCGGUAAUCCAUCCUAUUAAGAAGAGUUAUUAUUAGGAUACUUUGAACUUUUAGCAUUGCUAUUAUCUUGUCUAAAAUUUUCUAAAUAAAUAGUUUUCGUGGGAUGGUGGGGUAGGCAUUAUAGAGAGCAGCUCAUGUUAGCCAUCGCGGGUGCGUUUUGCGGACAAUGUUGAAUAACCAUCACUUUGGCCCCGGAGAACAUCAGAUUCUCAAAAUCCAAAAUCCAGAAUCUGGAUUGCCCUCCAAACAUGACAGAUUCUAAUCCAGAUUCUACAAUCUAGAUUUUGGAUUUUGAGAAUCCUAGGAGCUGCUCAAAAGUUGAUUCUACCAGAUUUUGCAUGCAUAUUUUACCAUUUUGCCCAGCAACCUUCUAGAUAAUUAUCCAAUCUGCCAUUGUUCACUCUUUUGGGUAGCAAGGGCAUAAAAGACAUCUACUAUACAAUCAGAUUUUGGAAUUUAUGAUCCAAACAACACCGUCCAGAUUUUACUUAGAAUCUAGAUUCUGAAAAUCCAUCUAAAAUCUAGAUUUUCAAAAUCCACAACUGGAUCCAAACGGGGCCUUCACCACAGCAUAAGCACAGGCGCCACCCGCCCCAGGCCCCGUGGCAAUGGACCAUGCCACCGUCUCGGUGCAUGAGCACUUGAGCAGCCGCGCCUCUCUAGCUUCCCCUCUAUAAGUAGCGCACGCACUCCACACCGAUACCCAGUUCCCCAAACAUACUCCUCACUCGGCCAGCAGCCGCAACGCCACCGAGCUACCCCGAGUCCCGACCGACCAGUUCGCUUGCGCAGCGCUCCGCGUCCGGCCAUGGAGGACGCGACCAACGCGCACCUCUACGCCCACGCUCACCUCCACCGAAGCAAGCGCCCCUCUCCGGCCGCCUUCAAGGAGGAGGACGGCGACUGCGACGCGCUCCACAAGGGGGCGCGGUACCGCGGCGUGCGGCGCCGGCCGUGGGGCCGUUUCGCGGCGGAGAUCCGCGACCCCGCGUCCAGGGAGCGGCGGUGGCUCGGCACCUUCGACACCGCCGAGCAGGCGGCUUGCGCCUACGACGUUGCCGCGCGCGCUAUGCGCGGCAGCAAGGCGCGGACAAACUUCCCCGUGCACGCCGCCGCGGGGUUCUGGCCGUGGGGCGCGCCGCCGCAGCCGGCGCACACGCUCAACCCCUUCCUCCUGCACAACCUCAUCAUGAGCUCCUCCCACCACGGCUUCCGCCUCCUCCACCAAGCGGGCCACGGCCACGUCGUCAACUCCUCCGCGCCCUCCAAGCCGCCGGCGCCGGUCGCCGCGGCCAUACCAGCGCCGUCCCCUGUCGCCCCGCCUCCCAGUGAUCUGGACGACGAGGACGUCGACGACUGGGCCGGCCUCAUGCGGGGCGAGCCCGCGGACGCCGGGCUGCUGCAGGACGCGCUGCACGGCUUCUACCCUGCUGGCACUCGCCCGCGCGGCGGCGCCAGCCGCAGCCUUUCCGCUUCCGGCGCCGACGCCAGGGCGGCCGCCGCAGAUGUGCCGGUAAAGCAGGAGAGGUACGACGCGUUCGUCGACAUCGACGGCGAGGAGGGCGGCGAGUACCCGAUGAUGCCGCAGGGUCUGCUCGGCGACGUGAUCCAGUACCCGGCGUUCAUGGAGGUCGUGGCCGCGCCGUCCGCCCCCACGCGCCGCGGCCGCUGGGGCUGAUGGCUCCGGCGCACGCGCGUUGCGUCCAUGCAUGCGUGCAUGGAUGGCGUCAUGGCGCGGGUGUGGCCGAGGGGAGCAUGAAAUGGAGGAUUUGGUGCUUUUGGGGACGAUUGCUUGCUUGAUUCCAUGGCGGCGGCUGCCUAAUCAAUCAUCUACUACUCAUCUUAGGUUUUGCUAGCGAGCUAGUAGAUCGACAUGGCGUGCGUGGGUGCGUGGUGGUGUGUGAUCUGUAAUUGUUCAACUAGGAAGGAUUUGUGUUGGUGAUUGCAUGGAAUCAAAGCUAGCUUGUUCUCGGUGGAUUUCGACAUGGCUCAUCAUGCAUGUUCUCGGUUUCCUACAGGCGUGUUGCGGUGUUGGGAUCGAGCUCCUGUAUUUUCAUUUUUCCGUUUUUUAAAUCUUCGAGAAUGCUUUUGGUCAGAAGCGUUACAUCGACCGCAAAAUGAAUUGUUUUGGCCGGUUAGCGCGCUGCAUGCUUACAUGAUGAAUCGGUUGCGCGAAUGAGCUGAGCAUGAUCGCGUGCGAGGCAUGAAAUCUGACUUGGGUGUGGAUUUUAUUUUGGGUCCGCAUGGAGAUGAAAUUGCAAAUGUAUAUAAUAUACUCUCUCCGUUCUAGACGAAUAUACCCUAGUUAAUGGCAAUUGUAGAUAAUAAAAGUUAAUUUAAGUAAUAAUUCACCAAUUAGUCACGUCUCUUGUCAAUUUAAAAAAAAAAGCAAUCUUCCAAAUAUGUUUAUAACACCUUGUAUUUGAGGACACAUUGCCGUGGAAAGCGCCUUCAGUACUGGUUCCUAACCACCUUUAGUACCAAGUAGCAAUAACCUUUAGUACCAUUGUGCAAUCGAUAUUGCUAUUUCGCUACUAAAGGGAGGCCUUUAGUACCGGGUUAAAUAACAGGUACUAAAGGGGUAUUAAAAAAUAAAAAAAAUAAAUUCCACCGGCCCGAGUCACACCCCGUUGGCUUGAUCGUUCGAGCGUGAGCCCGAGCUGCACCCGCCUGAGCCCGAGCUGCACCCCGCUGGCCCGACCGCUCGAGCCACACCCCGCCACCGCCGCUCCAUCCGCUCGGCCACCGGCGCGCCCGUGUCUCACCGCCGCUCCAUCCAGUCGCGCCGAGCCCACUAGCCGCGGCCCCUCCGUUGCCACCGCCGCUCUCUGAUCUCGUCAUCGUCGCCGCCGCCACCCUGUUGCGCCGAUCCCGCUAGUUGUGGCCACGCCUGGCCCCGCCGCUGCGCCUCGCCUCAGGCACAAGGUGAGGGGCGAGCGGAGGGGGGAGGAGAGGGGAGGCCGGGGAGGGAGGGAGAGGGCCGAUGCUGAUAGAGGAGGAGAGGGGAGGGGGAGGAGGAGGGGGAGGGAGGGGGCCGGUGCGGAUAAGGUUUGCACGGGGAGGGUAGAGGAUAAGGCUACGCUUUUAGUACCGGAUGCAGGCUUCACCCGGUACUAAACUAAAGGUCACUGUUUAGUACUGAGUGAAGCCUUCACCUGGUAUUAAAGACUCUCAGGCACAUUAGUACUAGUUGGAGACUUCAACUAGUACUAAUGAGUGACCUUUAGUACGGGGUGAAGCCUCCACCCGGUACUAAAGGGGUCACGGGAGGCUCCUCGGGACUGGCCGUUAGGCUCGGUGCUAAUGCUCACAUUAGUACCGCGCCAAAAUGCAACCAGUACUGAGCCUAAGGACGAAUGUUGAGUGUCCAGUAGUGACAAAUUUUAAACGUUUUGAUGUCUUGUAUUACAGAACGGAGAGUAUGUUCUUUUUUUUAAAAGCGUAAUAGCUAUUUUUAAUUUUUAUCCCUUAUAAGGCUGACCGUUUUAGUCCUCAAAACUUUUAUUUUGGGCUCAGUCCUGUCCCUCGUCAUUCGUAGCAUGCCAGCCACAUGUCAUGCCUCGUCAACAAAUUGUCAUCGGGUUUCAUUUUGGGCUUGCAGCUUUUCUGAAAUUGAGUGUUUAUGGGAUCGAUUUGUAUCAUGAUUGUGCUAUUUUUUCAAUUUUCACAUCAAUUUGGACAGCUUGAACAAUUGCUUGAAGAGUCGAAGAACAUACCUUGAAAUGAGAGAAACGAGGGGGCAAUAAAGAACAUACAUGUGUUCUAGAUGGGAGAAAUGAGGAUGGCAAAAGGGUCAACUCACACGUUUGCUGAAUCAGCUAAGUGGAUACUUUGCUGACGAGGUUUGACACGUGGCAUGUGACGUAGGAUGAGGAAUGAGAUUAUUCCCCAAAAUAAAAAUUUGAGGAUUAAAACGGCUACUUUGAUAGUUAAAUUGAGCCUCCGGCGAUUGUUGAUGAACGGAAAUGGCCAUUCCGCCUUUUUGAAAGACCAUACGGUGGAUGUUCAAUGCUUAGUUCAGUAUGUUUUUCUUUGGAGUCAGUUAACUCACUGAUAAAAAUCUUGUGGUACAGAAACGCCGCCUUUUAUGAGUAUGGGAUGCCUAAUUUUGCAUUUUGUAGUACUUCAUAAUCGCCAUUUAAUUUGUAACCAAAGGAAUUAAGCUACUACCAUAUAUAAAUGCUUUGAGCAUCUUCAACAGUCCCGUUAUAUCUGGCCCCAUUAUGCAUUCCCCAUAUAAUUUGUACUACCCAAUAUCUUACCUUGACAAGUGGACCAAUGCAUUUUUUUUUCUCUUUUCCUCUCUCUCUCUCUUCUUCUACCAGCUGAACCCGUUUGAAGAGCGAAAUGUCAAAACUCCCAACCGGAAAGGCAGAAACCCGAUGCGACCGGCGCUGUCGGCUCAAGCCACUGCCGCUGCCGGUGCGCGCCUCGAUCCGGCGUCCAUCUCAUUCUCAUUCCGUCCCUCCCGCGUGCACGGCUAGCCAGAAGAAGCGUGCGCACUGCGCAGGCAGCCGCGGGCGAUAAAUUUCUUGUCCCCUGCGGGCCGCGGCGCGGACUACGGAGUUGGUGCCCGGCGGAAAAGUGGCCAGCAGCCGAAUCCGCUGCCGGUGCCGAUCGCCGGCCGGCCGCCGGGUUAGAAAAAAAAAACAAACCUACGGCCGGCCGGCUACGGUUGGGUCAACAGUGUUUCGGGAAAGGGGAAGGGCAGGCGAUGGGACAGGCAGCAGGCGUCCCCGUGUCUCCGCGCGCCUCUCCCCGUCGAUCGGCCGGCUCGGACGGAGUGCGUCUGAUGGCGGCGGCGAUGUGAAAAGUUCUGUGGGAGUUAAGGCUUUGUCGGUGAAAAGUUCAGUUGUGCAGCCUGCCCGGCUGCUCCGCUCCGAUCCACCUUACCCCAACGCCAACGUGAACAGCGAGUGCAGUUCCAGACAAGACGCUAGGCUGUUCCGGGCAGCCAAGUUUUCUACCCGUCCGUGAGGAAGUAACGACGACACCAAAAGCUUCCACAGUCCAGUCGAUGGCCAUCACAAAUCAUGAAAAUCAAACAACAGGCAGGCCUCAAGCGCUACGCUAAAGAUUAGCCACGGCGAGCAGCCUAUUCGUGUGUAGUGUAGCACAGCUUUGUGACCUCUUCUUCCCAGCGAGACCCCGACGGCAGACGACCCCGCGUGCCUGCCGCCCGCAACCGGCAACCGCAAAGCAUGCGAUGCAGCAGUGCUGCACCUGCACCUCAGCCCUCACUCCUCAGCGCGUGCGUGGGCGGCACGGGCAGUGCACGUCUUUUCCUGUCUCCCGCCGUACGCGGACGUAAAAGGGCAUGCGCGUUCUGACUUCUGACGUGAUCGAGAAGGGCAUGCAGCUUCCCGGCCGGCCGGCCGGGCCCCGCACCGCACGUACACGGUACAGCCAAAACCCCCAUCGGCCCUUCCCUCCGCGCGCGCCGGCCCGGGAACAGGACUGAGGCAGGAGAGCGAGGCCACCGCCGCCACCGGAGGCCCGGGCGCACGUCCCUCCUCCGUCCCGACGACGUGCGCGCCCGGCCGCCUUCCCGUGCCGGCCGUCUGUCCGGAGCAUAUCCAGCGUCGCCGGCCAAAUCUCAGAAUGCUAGAAUAGUGAAAGGUCAGUUCGUGCAACGCAUGCUUGGACUGAUGAACAGAAAUCACGUCGGUCGUGUACGGAGGAUCGGGCAGGGAAGCAGGGACGGAGGCAGCAGCAGCGGAAUUUGAUGCCCCGAAUCAUGGCGGAGGAUUUUUGCCGCCGGCAAUGCAGACAGAGGAGAAAUGCCUUUUUGUGCUGGCGGCACCUAGCCCUCCAUCUUGCAUCAGUCCGCGUGUUUUAUUAUCUCAUUCAACUGUAUUUCAGGUGUCUUUGAUUUUUUUCAAUGUAUAUGACCCUGAGAAAAAAAUCUUAUAAAAUUGAUAUGACAUAAAGUAACAUCGAGUACCGGUGCAAAGGACAAAAGUACAUCUUUGGAUGCAUGUGUCCAUAUUUUCUAAAAGCAAGUGGCCAAUUUCUUAACCUCACACCACACGUGAUGCUCUGUUCCUGUCUGGCAACUAGUUUAAAAAGUAACCGUUGCACAUGACAUAUAAUAAUAUUUUACAUGAAUUAUCCUUUUUAACCUAUUUACGAUCCUAUUGAAACUCCAUUCACAUACAAGGUUACGCACAUACAUGGUGUGUACUGCAUAUGCCCUAACCAUCCUGUUUAGAGUACACUAGAAGUGCAACAAAACUUUCACCUAUGUACACCAUAUGUACAUUAUUUUUUGAUGGACGGUAGAAGAAUACAUUUGAUGAACAACAGAUGAAAAUGAACAGUAGACGAACACGAUAAGCGCAUGAACAUAAGAACACGUAGGUACUGCUACAUCACCACCGUCCCAAAUCUCUUGAAUCUGUAUAGCACGAAGGGAAAAAAGAACACACAUGAUUCGAUCGGAAUAAAAAAGAGAAACAAAAAGCAGCAAGAGGCAGAAAAAGAGAGAGAAAAUGAAAAACAAUAAUCGACCACAUUAAAAGGAAAAACCAGCUAUCUUCGCUAAGCGAAGAAAAAGGAAGGAAAAAAAGAAACUAAGAACAGCUCCGGGUUGCGGCAUGCCUCUGGUAACCGCACGUGCUCACUGGCUGCGCUGGUUGUGGCCCACCACCGCGUCAGGCAGGUCGCCUGGGGCCACGUGCCGCCGUGCAACGCAAGGGGCAGUGCAGCUGCACCCCCGCGCUCGCCUCGCAUGAUGCGCCGUGUACGAUGUGGCCUUGAGCGCGCGUGCCGCACCCGGCUUCACGCUGCGGCGGCGGACCUGCACCAUGGCGGACUCGACGCAGCCUGGCUCCGCGACACCUCGGCGGUGGGGGACCUGUGUCGUGUGGAGCUCAGGCCGUCGCGCGAGGAGUACCCCUGGUGCCGGCCAAGUUCGGGCUUGCCACGACCCUCGUCGCGUCACUCGCCCAUGCCGGUGUCGGGAGCAUGGUCCUGCGCGGGCGGAACAACGUAGGCGGAAGGAAGCCAACGGGUCGCCGUGGACGCGGGGCCGCGAUGGAGCGUGGCGACGGCUACCCGACCGGGGCGCAAGAAGCCGUGGGCACGAGCGCUGGAGCUGCUGCUCGCAAGUCCACGCCUUUAUCCUGGCCGUGCCGGUGCCAGGUAGUGUCGCCGCCGACGCGCGCCGCCGGAUCCAGGUCCCUCACGCCCGCCGCCGCAAGAUCCGGCCGCCGGUGGUCUGUGCGCCGCUAGGUGCCGUCCUGGAUGCCUGAUGCCACUGCCAGGGCGAGGUCGGGGGCGCUCGUGGCCCACGCUGCUGCGGCCGGUCACCAUUGGCCAAGCCUACGCCAAUCCCCUGCGUGGAGCUUGGCGGGGUGGCGCGCAGCUGCUCGGCCAGUGGGCUCUGUUGCGGGCCUCCAGUGGAUGGCCGGCCCCUGCGCUCGUGUCAGCUGUGGUGCCAGCAGCCUCUAGCUCCUAGCGGCCGGACACUCACGCGCUCGGAUCCGGUGACCUAGCAUUGCGCCGCGUCGACCAGCGGCGGCCCGCGCCCCAUCGCCCCCGCACCUUGCCACCUCGAUUACAACAACGGCAGCCACGACCUGGCCGUGCCCCCCGCCACCGCCAGUGUUCCUCAGUCCGGCAACUGCGCACCUCAUAUCCAGAUCUGAGAGAGGAGAGAGGGAUGGGGGAGAGAAAGCUCUUGGUUUUCAAAUGAAUUCAAAAUUAGGUAGAUUGAUAUUUACCGUGAAGGGGAGAGAGAUUCUGGACAUGUUAUGUACACAAUCCUUAUCCCCUGCUCCCCCUCAUGCGGACACUAUAUGUACAGGAUACGGUGUGACAUAAAGUGGUCAUACGAAUGGGACAUAAUCUUUGCACAUCUGAACACGAGCACGGUGCGCAUUUCGAAUUCAGGUUGGGAUAACAAUCCUACGGUUUGGAUAGAACCUAUCCUGAUUGCCUUCCAUACAUAGCCCUGUUUGUCAUGGCUCCAGCUCUGGGUGGAGCUGCUCUACUCCAAAACUCCAGGUAGAGUCAGCUCCACUCCAAAACUCCAGAAAUAAAAUGGGGUGUUUGGCUAGAUGGGUACUCUCAGCUCCAAAAAAAAUCAAUUUCAGUGUUAAUUGCCAUUGUUGCCUCCAAUUCAGAUCCCACUUGUCGUCCUCUCCUCCUCUUUUCUUCCUCCUUUCUUUUUCCUCUCUCUGCCAUUGCCCACUGGUUACCCGAAGGAGGAGGAGGGGAAGGCACCAACAGGCGGGGCGGGCGGCGGCGGGUGCGGGCGGCGGGGGGUGGGGCGGGCGGCGGUGGGUGCGGGCGGCGGCGGGGCUCGAGCGGGCGGCGGAGGGUGCAGCCGGCGGUGUGGCUCGGGCGGGCGGCGGUGGGGGCGGCCGGUGGGGCUCGGGCGGGCGGCGGUGGGUGCGGCCGGCGGCGGGGCUAGAGCGGGCGGCGGCGGGGCUCGGGCGGGCCGCGGGGGGUGUGGCCGGCGGCGGUGGGGGCGGCCGGCGGUGGGGCUCCAAGGCCGGAGCGCGCGGGACGGAGGGGCCACGACGGCCGGUGGCAGGAGCGACGGGCGGCGCUAGCGCGGUGGAGACCGGUGGAGACGAGCGCGUGGAGUCUCGGAGGAAAAUAGAACGAACCGUUUUUUGUGGCAUUGGUGGGUAAUUAUCCACCAACUCCAUGAGGAGGUUCAAAAGAGUGGUUUCUGGAGUAGCAAAAGAGGUGUUCCAAAACUCCACCUCCAUUUGCCUUACAGCUCCAUGGAGCUGGCAACUCCAUGGAGUUUUGGAGUUGGGGUGUUUGGCUGAAUUUUUUGAUGGAGUUGCUGGAGUUUAGGAGCGGAGCUGUACCAAACAGGACCAUAAUUCCAGGCAGAGCAGGAGAUCUGGAACCGGGAGGCCACGCCAGAUGCACUACUACUACUGUACAGUACAGGUCUCCGUCUCCUCCCAAACUCUACACCCUACAGUGCUCUGACAGGUAUAGUAUAUUCGUGAGCUGCGAAUGAACAGGCUUGUCCUGCAACUCGAUUGCUGAAUUUUGUUAGGAUUUUGUUAACCGCUCCCGUGGCCUUUUACCUCGGAAGUUUUUUUUUUCAACCGUCCAUCAAUAUGAUCACCAUCUGUCCUGCAGUGAUCUUGUAUUUUCAUUUCCUAGAAUUUUGCGAUGGGCCGCUCUAGCUACGCUCGAUUCGCGUUGCCUAAACUCUACUACUCCAAAGUGUUAGUAAUUCGAGCCUUCUACCUUAGAAGUUCCAGUGCUACUCCUCAAGAGCUACUACAGGGAAUUCCAUUGCAACGCCUGGAACAAAACUGUCGAGCAAUGUAAAACGCUGCAUAAUACUCGUUCAAAGCUCCUGCAAACUACUCGUAGCAAGUAGUCCACGGCCAUGCGGGGGUUGUUGCUCUAACAAUUUGUUCGUCAGGGAAAAUCCGGGCUGGACAAAGAUUCUACUGGUAUGAUCCCGGAAAGCUGCUCGCUGGCCUGGCCUGGCCUAGCUCUCGGUCAGAGGACGCAGGACGAUUCCAACACUGCCAACUCUGCUGGCAGCGCCAGAAGAUGUCCCCCUCCCUUGCCGGGCACUAGGCUCUCCUCCAUGCCUUGGCUCUGCAAUCCUGCCCGUCCGCUACGGUUUCUGCACAUCAGCACAGUCGCACAGGGCAAACCGUGUCCGUGUGCGAUCGCGUUGGAGCUGGAUGGAGUGGGGGAUCCAGGACCAGGAGUAACGCCGUGGCCGUUUAGGAGCGAGCACGAAGCAUUGAAAUCUCCCUGCAAUGCCGCUGGCCGCUGCGGGCGCAGGGGGUAGGGUUCGGAGAUCGGAUGGGCCGGCGCGCAUGCGAUUCGUGCUCCCUGCCUGCCGUGCGCGCGGUGUGCCCGCGAAGGUGCAGACGUGCAGUAGUGCAGGGGCAGAGCAGUGGGAUCAAACGGCUUGGAUGGACGAAGAGCUGCGUGCAUGUCGCGCGCCAUUUAUGCAUCUGGGGUACAGUGCGCGCAGCGUGCCAGCGUAGGUUGGUGCAGGUGUAGAUUUGGCGCGUGCCACCAUUCGACACGGUGCAGGUGUAGCCGUGCAGCGAACUACUCGAGUGCACGUCUACGUAAUUCCUCUGCACGUAUGUUUGUCGCAUCACGUUUGAAUUACUUUUUCGAAUUUUGUUUCUUUUUUCCCCUUUUGCAUUUCCGGAUGCUACAGUACUACCAGUAGUAUCAUAUGCUCUCAUCCUAUAAAAAUAAUCACAAAAAAGUUCAAUAUAUUUCUGUGCCAUGUGAUAUGAUGGCACCUAGGUGUAUGCAUACAGGAAGUAGAUGGGAGUAUGGGAGAACACAGAACUCACUCUGCAAAAUUGCUAAAUCAUUAUUCUUCAGUGGUUCCAAACACCUAAAAUUUGUGUCUUGAAAUUUGGGGGUGUUUGGUUCCUAUAACUUAUUUUUUAGCACUCGUCACAUUAAAUGUUUAGAUACUAAUUAGGAGUAUUAAACGUAGACUAUUUACAAAACCCAUUACAUAAGUGGAGGCUAAGCGGCGAGACGACCCUUUCACCCCUGGAUAGUCUAUUUUAUGAAACUGUAUUGUAACGCCACAAAUUUGGAAAGGGGGUGUACUUUUCCCACAGAUAGGAAGUGGGAGAGUAGCUUUCCACUACCGGACUUAGUUGGGUAUGCGAAGCCCCGAAACCCCCCCAAAUGGGGAAAAGGGAGUUCCCCCCCCCCCCCCCCCCCAAGGAAAAGGGGGUGUUCAUUUUUAUUUCCCGAAAAAAGGGGGAGGGGGACAAUACCACCCUCCCAGCGGCAGGGGGAAGAGGAGGUUCCCCCCCCCCCCACCACCGAGAGAAGGGGGGGAUCCCCUCCCCCCCCCCCAACNNNNNNNNNNNNNNNNNNNNNNNNNNNNNNNNNNNNNNNNNNNNNNNNNNNNNNNNNNNNNNNNNNNNNNNNNNNNNNNNNNNNNNNNNNNNNNNNNNNNUGAUUUGACAUGUGUUGCUACAGUAAACAUUUGCUAACGAUGGAUUAAUUAGACUUAAUAGAUUCGUCUCGCCGUUUAGCCUCCACUUAUGCAAUGGGUUUUGUAAAUAGUCUACAUUUAAUACUCCUAAUUAGUAUCUAAACAUUUGAUAUGACACGUGCUAAUUAGUAUCUAAACAUAUGUCAGGAUCUUUACUUCAAGGAUGAUGGGUAUACGAUGUAAGAAAAAUUCACAUGUACUCCUUCGCACAUAGUAUAAAGUUCAAUUUAUACCUUAUUUGAAACUAUUUCAUAUUAGAAUUAUAGUUUAGGACAAAUAUUUGACCUAUCUAAGGAUCAGUCUAAUAGGCAGGUCAAGCAAGCACCAAACCUUUGAUACGCUGUUGAACUCUGAAAGGUAAAGUUUCUACUUAAUACUCCCUACAUUCUUUUUAUAGGCAUAUCGACUCGAAGGGAGGGAGUAAAUUUAUAAAUCUCCCUUCACAUUAGGGGGUGUUUGGAUGCCAGGGGCUAAACUUUAGUCCUGUCACAUCGGACGUUCGGAUGUUAAUUAGAAGGACUAAACAUGAGUUAAUUACAAAACUAAUUGCAGAACCCCUAGGCUAAAUCGCGAGACGAAUCUAUUAAACCUACUUAAUCAUCAUUAGCGAAUGGUUACUGUAGCACCACAUUGUCAAAUCAUGAACUAAUUAGGCUUAAUAGAUUCAUCUUGCGAUUUAGCAUAAGAGUUGUGCAAUUAGUUUUGUAAUUAGUCUAUAUUUAAUACUCCUAGUGUCCAAACAUUCGAUGUGACAUGGGCUAAAAUUUAGCCUAGGGGAGCCAAACACCCCCUAACUAACACCCCCUAACUACUGGGCAAUUGGCUUGAAGAAAAUGUUUAUGAUUACGAUUAAUAGCUACUCCUAUUUUGUUUGGUGACAAAUACUUGACAUUUCACAGACAAUGAUCUUAAACUUCUUAUAUUAUUCUAUCAUUAUAUUCUAAUAUAAAUAAUGGUCAAAAUAUAUCAUAGGGAUUGUUGUCAUGAAAAAAUCUAAGUUUCAUCAGACAUGUUUUAACUAUAUUCAUACCUUAGUAUAGGAUUGAAUCAGAUCCCUGCCUCUCUCGGCGCAAUCCUUGCACAAGAACCUCUCCAUUUACCCUUGGAUUGAUACGUUUGAGUUAUACUGCUUGCAAAAAUAAAAGGAAAAAAAUCAUGUAAAGACCUGCCUCUAUGGAUCAUUCAUUAUCCAUGAAAUUUCACAAUGUGAACGAGCACAAAAGGCUUUACGUUUCGGACCAUUCGCAUGCACACACAAAAGAACAACUCAUCAGCUUCCAGAAACUCCAACUAAAUAUCACAAGCGAAAGUAAUUCGAUCGAUCCCCAUCUCAUAAGCUGAUAACGAAACAUAGAGCAUGUGUGCUGAGCGGGGGUGAAAUCCAUCGAGAACAAGCGCUUUGGUUCCAUGCAAUCGGCAGCACAGCACACAAAAUCCUCCCAAGUGAACAACUACAGACACACCACCACAGAUAACAUAUUAUCGAUCGAUCUACUAGCUAGCUAACAGCCAAGAUGAUUGACAAGAUAAAACCAUGGAAUCAUGCAAGCAGCCGUGAAGCCAAAAGCACCAGAUCCUCCAGCGAUGCCCCACCCCCAUGCAUACGAUCGAUCGCGCGAGACAUCAGCCGCGCCGGCGCCCGCGGCGCGUGGCGGCGGGCGGCGCGGCCGCGACAUCCACGAACGCCGGAUACCGGAUAAUGUCCUCGAGCAGGCCCUGCGGCAUCAUCGGGUGCUCGCCAUCCUCAUCGACGUCGUCGCCCACGCAAGGGAAAGCCACGGCAGACACCUCGUGCCUCUCCAGCUUCUUCAUCGCCGCCACGGCGUCCCGGGCGUCGGCGCCAAGCUCCAUGGGAUGGUCGACGGCGGCGCGCGGCAGCAUGCUCGGGUAGAAGCCGUGCAGCGCGUCCUGAAGCAGCCCCGCGUCCGGCGGCUCGGUCCGCAGGGCGCGGCCCCAAACGUCCAUGUCCAUGGACAGUGGUGCUACGGGAGACGAGGCGACGGCAGGGGCCGUCACCGCGGGUGCGGCCAUGGCACCGGGCGCCGGAGCGGUAGGCGUCGGCGCUGGCGCCGGAGGGAGAGGCCGGGCAGGAGAGGGGUAUCCGUGGACGGCGUGGUGGAGCAGGCGGCAGCCCUGGUAGGAGGAGCUCAUGAGGAGGUUGUGCAGGAAGAUGGGGUCGAGCGUGCGCGCGCCGGCCACCGGCUGCGGCGCGGCGCUCCACGGCCAGCACGCAGCCGCCGCGGCGUGGACCGGGAAGUUGGUGCGCGCCUUGUUGCCGCGCAUUGCGCGCGCGGCGACGUCGUAGGCGCAGGCGGCCUCCUCGGCGGUGUUGAAGGUGCCGAGCCACCGCCGCUCCUUGGACAUGGGGUCCCGGAUCUCCGCCGCGAACCGGCCCCACGGCCGGCGCCGCACGCCCCGGUACCGCGCCCCCUUGGGAGACGCGUCACCGUCCCCGUCCGCGUCCAUGAUCCCGGCCGGCGUGGGGCGCUUGCUGCGGUGGUGGUGGCCGUGGGUGUGGGCGAAGAGGUGCGCGCCCUCCAUGGCUGGACGCGGAGCGCUCCGGAGGGGAACUGAUCGGUCGAGGUGGCUUUGUGGCGUUGCUAGCGGCGGUGGCGAGCGAGGAUGAGUGGGGGACUGGGGAUCGGAGUAGAGUGCGUCCGCUACUUAUAGAGGGGAAGCCGGGAAGCGCAAGAGGCAGGGUUGUCUGUCUCUACUGAUGCCCUGACGGCGCUAUGGUCCAUCGCCAUGGAGCAGUGGCCAUUGACGGCCUUGCUCUGCAAUGCAAAAGAAUUGUUACACUCAAUCUGGUACAUCGAGAAGCAUCGAUCAAUUGUACGUAUCUUGUUUACAUUCCUUCAGGUUUGAUUAGUGAUUGAAUACAUUUUAGAUUUAAGAGAAAACGAAAUACUCCUAGAACCAAAACGUUCGGGGUGUAUAGCAACCGGAGUAUGAUUUUUUGCUGGUGCACCGUGACAAGCUCGAUUUCAGUCCGUAUGUCAUUUGAAUCUAUAUACCGUAGGAUAAAUCUCCACUAUUGGUAACCCAUAAAACUUCAUUAUUGAUAACCUCUGUUUCAGUGAAACAAGCAGCGCCUAGGUGGUUUUUUUUGACCGAAAUCAAUUUAACAUUUCAGCUAUGUAUGAAAGUUGGAUCAAGCAGAGAUGGAUUGGAGAAAUAUACAUUAUGAUCACAAAACACAUGAAUUGGUUGUAAUUUUGAAUUUUUAUUUUAAUAUGUUAAAUUUCAUCUGUUUAAGAUAACGUAUGCAAGGAGUAUAACCGCCUAAAAUGCUUAAGCGAUGCCAAGGCACAACUAGAUAUACGCUAGACACGGCCUAACCCCUUACCUAGCCAGUGCAUGCUAGCAAUUUUUGAAAUGUUGUUGAUAACUGUGGUUAGAGAAGAGAACACAUAUCUUAACUAGAUUUACAGUUAUAUUUGAGCCACCAUAGAGAAAUUGCGGGGUUUGGAGCAAAUUUGGUAGAUUUACUUAUUUAUCUUUUGCAAACUCCAAGCAUCCAGAAACAAAGUCCAACUCCAAGCAUAACAAUCGAAGUGCAAUAAGAGCAAAUAUAAUAAAGUGAUGUAAGCAAGAUAUAAGACUUGGCACAUUCGGAUUAUGCCUAGUUGGAGGAUAAAUGAGAGCAGAGAGAAAGAAAAAGCGUGAUGUAGACUCAAAAAAUGUUGAAUAGAGAAAAUGUGAGGAUGAUGAUGGACCAGAUAUUAAUUAUUUUUUUUGAAUUCCAACACAAAUACAUAUGCUCAAAUAUAUGCAUGAACACUCACCGCCGUGAAUACGGCAAUGCACGCACGUAAAGAUUGACGAAGCCACCAUAGACGCUUCGUUGUCGACAAUCAUGUCACCUGCCACCGAGAGUAUAUCGUCAUUAUUUUUUAGAAUAAAUCUAAGAAAAUAUGAGCACCGCGUGUUGAGUUGAGGAUAUGGGAAAUCGGAAUGGGCAAAUUCCAUCGUAAGAAAUCUAACCAGCCUCAUUUUGCACGUACUAUUAAUUAUUUUUUUGGGUAGCAAGUAUUUAUUAUUAAUAUAUUACUCUAGGGUUUACGACUAGUAUAUGGGAAUAGUUAAAUACUAUUUCAAAUUGUAUGUCGUUUUGGCUUUUAAGGUUCAUAGAUAUUAUUAUGCAUCUAGACAUACAUUAUAUCUAGAUGAAUAAUAAUAUCUAUAAACCUAGAAAAGUUAAAACUACCUACAAUUUGCAAAUAAGGGAGUAUAAUAAAUUAUGUAAGCCAAUGCUCUCAUAAAUAUGCCUGAUCGUAUUUGCCAGAAACAAGGCAUGCAAGGUCCUGCCAGCCUCAACCCCACAAUAAAAGUCAGGAAAAGCUAUAUCUCACCCAAGUGAAGUAAGGCCUUUGCUCACUCGAUUUGGUGACCGUUUCAUCUGCUAUGUUUUGUACCUGCUUCCUCCGUUUUGUCCUUUCCUCUUUUAUCUCUAUCUUGUUGCUGACUUGAUUGGUCCAUUUGUCAAGCUGCAUUGUUUUGCAAUUUUUGGAAGCCACCGAUAUUUCUAGUCAGCAUUUCCGAUGCUGCUCCAUUUCUUUCCCCGCCCCCAGGUCCAACUCCCCCGUCCCCGCUCUGCCGCCACUAGCGGCGAAGCCCCCUACCCACGUCGCACUGGAAGGCGAGCUUGCACCGAUGUCGAGCUGGCUUCUCCCCAGCUGCUCGUCCCACGGCUCCUCGAGCCUCCCAGCACCACCGCCUCCGCCUCGCCCCCUGGCCCUGGCAGCACGUCCGCCUCACGCCCCCACCGCCAUAGCUGUCGAGAUGACCCUCAGCACACGUCGGAGCCGCCUUGCCAACCAUGGGAGCUGGAGGCGGGAUCGGGCGGAGGAGGAAGGGAGCAGCCGCCUGGCUCCCAUGCUGCCGAGGAGAAGCGGCUCUAGGGUUCAUCGUUCUAGUUAGUUUUCCGUCGAUUUCUACGUUCCACACCCAUGGAUCUUGUGUUUACUUGUGUUAUCGAUUCCUGAUUGGUUCGAUUUCUCAAGUUCUCUAAUUUACCUGGGUUAAUUUCGCCCACUGUGAUUUGAUUGCUGUGGAUCUUGGGUAGAAUCAAUUUUUGACUUCCUGUGAUGUUUCUGAACUAGGUCGCAUAUAAUUCGUGUCCUAAUUUGAAUUCCUAUCCAGUUCCACUCUGUAGUUUAGCUUGUUCAGCUAGUUUGUUCGGUUCCUUUCGCCUGCAUGUUAUAUGAUUUCUUUGUCUAUUUUCUUCGACCACAUUCAUCUGAGAGGCACUCUGAUCUUAUUAGGAUGGGCAUCUGCAUGUUGGUUAGUGACUAACAGAAUUGUGAUGGUUACAAUUCAUAGCUACUAAAGUUCCAGUGGUGAUUGUACUGUCAUUUGCAUGUAAACAAGGUGUAACUAUUGCAAUAUUUGAAAUAGUUUGGGUAAUGUCACUUUUUGCUAGCAUUUUGUAUGAUUUCUUUGUCUAUUGAUGUAUUUUCUUUGACCACAUUUGUCUGAGAGGCAUUUUGAUUUCAUUAGGGAGGACAUCUGCAUGUUGGUUAGUAACUAACAGAAACUGCCAUGAUGGUUACAAUUCAUAGCUACUAAAGUUCCAGUGGUGAUUGUGCUGUCAUUUGCAUGUAAACAAGGUGUAACUAUUGCAAUAUUUGAAAGUUUGGGUAAUGUCAAGUUUUGCUAGCAUUUCAUAUGAUUUCUUUGUCUGUAUAUGUAAUUUCUUUGACCACAUCCGUCUGAGAGGCAUUUUGAUCUCAUCAGGAGGGACAUCAGCAUGUUGGUUAGUGACUAACAAAAAUUAUAAUGGUUUAGACAUGUUGUUCGUUAGUGACUCUAUCAUUGUAUUAUGCACCUGUUGGUUUGUAAUGGUGUACAAUCAUGUUUGUUAGAGAAUAACAGAAAUUGUGAUGGACUGAUGGUGUGCACAUUUCUAUAAUCUGUUGCUUGCAUGAGAUUGUCUUUCUCUCCUUGCUAAGGUGUGUUAUAUCUUAUUUUGAGCUUGUUUAGUUGUUUUUUGCUCUUCUUUUUUAGAUAUCAAUGAUGUCUAAUUUCAUAAAACGAAUCAUUCAUGACAACUUCUAUAUUAUUUAGGAUCUGAUGACUAAUGUUCAUGCCAUCACUAGCAAGUUUUGUCUGGUUAUUGAGCAAUCUUUUGUGUUAGGAUUAUUAGGAAGAUUCUUUAAUAUGUAAAAAACAACUUUGAAACUUCUCUGUCAGCCACCCAGAAGAUUGUUUAUGGACCCUCAGCAAGGACUUGAGAGGUGGUAGGGCUGCCAGCUUCAACGUCAUUUCCAGUAGCUUUGAUACUUCUUUACCAGCUUCAACAUUAUUUUCUUCAUUUUUUCUGUAGUGGUUUGUUCACGCUAACUGAUAUGACCUAUUAGUUUGUCUGAUAAUUUAAGUGAUAGAAACAUGAUAGCUUGUUUCUUUAUGUUUUGAGUUUACUUAGCUUUAAGAAUUAAUUUAUAAAUUAUUAGUCCUAUUUGAGACUAAAUGUAAUGAUCCCGGUUAAUCCUUCAAGUUACCCUUAAUUCGAGUCCCCAAAUCCCUCUGUCUCAGCCCUCCCCUGAGCUUAAGCGCUCCGCCUCCUGUCAGGGUCCCGACCCCUGAGACCCCAGCCCACCCCGUCGGUUCCUUCUGAGUUCCCCAAGGCAGUGUCCCUUCGAUCUUAAGCAGAGGAGAAACCGAGAAUGACCGGUGGAUGGACGGGUAGACCCGCAAAUCUUUUUCCCAGAUCUCCCGAGGCAGACGCACUGGAGCGGCCUGCAUCGCUUCAGAGCUCUCCCGCCGCGUGGCUCAGCUUUCCCGACGCCCGUCGCUUCGCCCAGUCACCGGCCGCGACCGAAUGGUUUCCCGCGCCAUUCUCCCCAAUCGCCGCAGAAGCCCCUCUGCACCCCAUUCUGCAGCGCCUCAUCUCGCUCGCGCCCUCGCCAACCGCGCCUUGGUGCUCCGUCGCCGCUGCGGCAGGGCUUUGCCGCCUGCUGCGCCCAAACUGCCUCGCAGCUCGCACCAUCAUCAUCUCACCGGAUCCCCUGCUGCAAGGCCCGAUGCCUUCCGGCUUUUUCGCCGCCUCUCCACAGUCGCGCCGCCCCGAACUCGCUACGCGACGAUUCCUCCAUCGCCAACCCCGACUCCGGCCGCGACAGUUCUUUUCCGCCUUGCCAGAACUGUGCCCGGCAAACCGCUGCUUCGCGCUCGCCCGUGCAGCCGCAACCCGCCUGUCUUGUCACCUGUGCAACCUCGCUUAUAGCGCCAUUCCCCCUAUCACACUCAUCAGAUCUGCCGCACGACGACGCCCGCCUCCGCCAAAUCUCAACCACCGGCAAAACCGUGCCUGCGCCGCCUUGUCUCCAGUGCCUAAUAGCUGAGGACGCUAUCUUUGAAGUCCUGUUCCGCCGCCCAUCGCCGCUCAAUCGCCGCCAUGACAGCGCACUCCCCCUUUUCUUCCGGUCUUCGUGCUACUCCAACUCCAUCUCUCUCUCCGCGCAUCUAUAAAAGGGAAUGCCAGAGUCUUACUGGAGUUCCCUUCGCCAUUGUUGCCUCGCCGUCUUGUUUCUCUGUUUUGUGCUUGAGCGCCACCACCUAAGUUCUUGGGAAACUCUCAUUUCCGCUCAACACCCGCACCUUCCCAAUCCACCCAGCCGCCUGCUCCUCCGCGUUGUGCUAGAGCUUCCUUAUUGCUCACAAGAAGCUCCGCCGCCGCCGGAGCACCGCCGGACAUCGCCGCCACCAAAGCCUUAGUGCUUAAGACCUUUCGCCCACGUCUACUCCUUCCCGACCCCAAAAGGCUUCACCUAUAAACCGAAGGUAAGCUGCCGACCCCUUACCGUUUCACCUGACCCUAGCUGUUCGCCCGACCCCUCUUUCCGUUUCGCCCGACCCUAGCUGUUCGCCCGACCCCUCUUUUCAUUUCGCCCGACCCUAGCUGUUCGCCCGACCCCUCUUUCCGUCUCGCCCGACCCUGUCUGUUAGCCGACCCCUAUCUGCCUCACCCGAGGACUCGGAUGUAUCUUUUUCCUUAACCCGAGGGUAUCUGUGUAAGAUUUCAGGGACUUCUCUGUAAUAGAUCUGAGGACCCCAAUCACAGUUAUCCCUUAAGGUUUAAGAGUCAGAUCAUAAGUUCUUCCAAUCCGACCCUUGGUCUGUUCUCUAUCCACUGAAGCUUGAAACCCCACACUCUUUCCGUAGCUUUGCUACAAGUUUCUGGGCUAAGACUUGCAAGUGUUGCUAUUGAAAUAACCGUCUAAAUACUAACUCCUGCAUUGCAUUCGUGUAGAGUUUCGUCUUGCUGAUGGCGUCUACGAGCUACACCCGGUGCUAGAAGACGAAGCUGUCGCUGAGCUACCAGUUCCAGAAGCCGAAGUCGCCCCAGCUAAAGACCAGCUUCCCUCCCCUCCGCUUGAAGGCAAGCCCCGGAGCAUGAAUCCCAAAGUUUUCCCCCAAAACUUACGCAUGCCUUCUUUCUCGUGUUUGUGCAUUUACGUAUAGGAGUUGUUUGCAACCUUAGAUGCAUGACAUAGUUCCUUGAUCUGAACACUAGUUGUUGGACCGAGUAGUUGCUAUGCUUAAAUAGGAAAGCGGUAAAAGUCGAGUGAUUUCCUAUCACUCCCUUCUGUUACAACUAUAAGGACGAUGGACGGGGAAGGGUUUUGGUUAACUCUUUGGUGCUCGGCUGAUCGCCCCGUCUGUCUACGGAACUUGUUAAGGCCCGACAGUGGUGGUGUUCGUGAUCAAGUAUUUGAAAGUACUACUCGCAUACCUAUUAUGGGAUGGGGAAGCCUAGUACCUGAUUGAACUAGGGUGUGGCUUAUACCCCUGCUGUCCCUGGAACGAGGUUCCCAUGGUGCAUCAUGUGGGUGCAAGUGCGGUCACAGUACGGUAGACGCCGGGACUGUGAAGCAUUGCAUGCUAAGGGAAGUUUGGACCUGACACGCGCCUGGGAAUUGAUGGGGACGGCCGACACAGGAAGCGACCCUUGUGGUGCGCGGAUGUCGUGAGAUUAGGUUCGCCAUGCAUGGUUAAGAGACCCGAAUCGAUUCGUCUGCCUCUCACAGUUUGAGAUUGCUUGAUCGCUAUGCUACACUGAGUAAUGAAAGAGUCUGAUGAUGACGUGGUCUUGAUGAUGAGCUUAUAUACAUAAAGUUGGUCCUAUGUUUGCUUAGAAUAAGAUGCCAACGUAGACUGGUUAAUGAACGUAGAAUUUGAGCUAAAACUUGAAAGCAAGGAUCUAACGUAGUCGCUUUUGGCAAAUAAACCCCUCAGCCAAAGAGCCUUGCAUGUCUAGGCGUGGUGGAGUAGUUUUACCACCGGUCAGUUAAGUCUUGUUGAGCUUAGCAGCUCAGCCUUGUUUGUGGCUUUCUUUUCAGGUGAAGUCGCAGCUCCUGAGUUUGCUCCCGCUGGCACUUGGCCGCCCCAGCUCCCUCCGGGUUGGACGGUUGAGUGGGACCCUUCCUCGGACGGCGAGGAGAGGGAUCACUGACGUCCUGAUCGGCCUCAUCAGUGACAUCCGACCCCGGCGCUAGCUUCCGUUAUUUUACCUUUCUGCUGCUCGAACCCUGUAAAAACUUUGAUUCUCGUUUGGAUGUUGAACUAAAUGGUCAGAUUUGGUCAAUUUUGUGGAUCUGCUGUAUUCUCUGGAACCACUCACCUUCUUGUGAGUUUGCUAAACUCGGUCCUGUUGAGUGGUUUAAUCGGAUGAAAUCCGACAGCACUUCGAGUUAACUUGACUAAGGCAUGAGUGUCGCGUGUCAGGCGACUUAACUAUGCUAAAAUCAAGGUAAAUCGAGGUGAAUCCGCCACACUAAAUCAUAUAACUAGGAAUAUGAGGAUGCUCAUAUCUUGGUAUCAAUUGUUAAAAUGCCUUAUUGACUGGUGUGCAAGUGCUAACUGAUACACCACCUACAGUUUGUAAUUAGGUAUGGAUUAUUUCUUCUCAUUCUCAAUUUUAUGUUUAGGGUAAAGUUAGUAAACAUUAUAUAUUAUGAUAAUUUUAGCGAAAAGGUAAAGGACACCCAAGUGUUUCUAUUGUCAGUAGAAAAUGGAAUUAUUACAAAUAGCUUUUUGGUUGAUUGUUGAAGCCUUUGUUUAUGAUUUUGCUGAAGAUUCCGAGCUUAUCUGAAUAUUUUAGCUUAUCACAGAUGUGGGGUUGCUUAUGGAUCCUAGUGUAUAUGAAAGGGUUUCGAUGCACUUGAUUUUUUCAAUGCUCAUUUUGUUGUUUAGCCUCUCUGAGUAUUUGUCAAGUUUGUAGUUUCAGUUAUUUAAUUUCUUUUUCAUUGGAAUUGAAUAGUAAAAUAAUUCUUUUAUGAUCUAUAAUUUGUUUGACUAUGUCUGUUAGUGUUUGAUACAUGUGCUUUAUUCCUACACCUGAGCCUAAUCUUUCUUAUAGUACAUAAGAAAUUUGCUUAAGUUAAAUACUUUUAGCUUUUUCUUUGGCUGAAUUGAUGCAGCUGUUCAAUAUCUUUCUUUUUUUUUGGCUAAAUUGCUUUUGUUCCCUCACCUUUAGCAUAGUUUGGUUCAGCAUCUCAGCAUUAUAUUUACAAUGGCCAUCCUAUCCUAAGCAUUUUGAUAUGAGCAACACCUCAGUUCUUUAAAAAAAAACUAUAUGCACACUUUAUUUGUCCGAUUUGUUAACAAAUCCCUUCCAAUGCAGAUCGAAUAUGCAAUCUUCAAGAAAGGGUUUCCUGCAGAAGGCAACCAUUUGAAGUAGAGAUGGUACUUUUUCUUCAUUAUUUCUGUGACAUCUAUUUGCUAUCUAAUUAGAGUUUCUUUUCUUUCUACAAUGUUGUGCCAAUCAUUCAUAUUAAAUUCAUAUUUCUUCUAAAUCAACAUUCAUUUGUAUGAUAUUACCUUAUAUGUUACCUAUAUAUAGAAGUUCAGAAUUCUAUUUGUGUGUUUAUCUGAUAUGACUCUACCAUUUUGUGCUAAUAUAUGAGCUUAAUACCAUUAGUAUCAGAUUAUGCAAAAAGCUUAAUUGUUUUUCUAACUUUGCCACUUUAACAGUAAAGUCAGUUUAGUUAGUACAUUAUACAGUAUAAUUUGUGUGUAAGUUAUUUAUCAAUGGACUUUUUUGCACUUUUUCUAUAUCCAAAUUAUGCUGGGUCCUUGUCCCACUGGCUUGUCUUAUUUUUUCGAAUUUCACACUUCUCAAUGAAAGGGAGUAGCCUUUUUUUGACAUUUGCAUUUGUCAUUGGGAAAAUUUGUACAUUUGAAAAAUUUGUAUUUGGGGUUUCAGUGACUCCCCAAAUAAUUUGUUAAUCUGCAUUCCAUAGAAAAGAAAUAUGAGUUAUUUGUGUAUUAUGCAUCUGUCAUUUGGGAAGUCUGUGGCAUUUGAGUAAUAUGUAUUUGGGGGUUUCCGUGACUCCCCAAAUUAAUUUGUUAAUCUACAUUCCAUAGAAAAGAAAUCUAAGUUAUUUUUGUAUUAUGAAUAUGUCAUUUGGGAAAUUUGUGACAUUUGAGGAUUCUGUAUUUGGGGUUUCUAUGGCUCCCCAAAUUAAUUUAUUAAUUUGCAUUUCAUAGAAAAGAAAUCUGAGUUAUUUGAGUAUUUUGCAUUUGUACUUGAGGAAAUUUAGGACAUUUGAGAAAGUUGUAUUUGGGAGUUUCCGUGACUCCCAAAAUAAUUUGUUAAUAUGCAUUCCAUGUAAAAGAAAUCUGAGUAAUUUGAGUAUUUUGCAUUUGUACUUGGGGAAAUUUGGGACAUUUAAGGAAUUUGUUACUCGAUUUGUACACCAUCUGUAACAUUGGAUCUGCAUACUUUUGUCUUCUCAGAGGUGACAUGCUCAGGUGAGGCGAAUCCAAUGUUCUUUCUAAUUUUCUGAAUCUAAUUCCGUUCGAUCCCUAGUUUCAUUUAGUCGUUAUUUUUCAUUAGGUGUGAUUCAGGAUAUUAGUUUCGCAUGUUGAAUAGCUAUGGAUUCAUCAAUUGGCUUUUGAAAAUAUCAUGAUUUCUCUCAGUCUAUUAGUUGAUUCUUUUAGUUUUACCUAUCAUAGCAAUUUCCUUUGAUGUCAUGAUUUUUUUAGGGUUUACCAGGGUGAGUACUGGUUCAAUGUUCAUUCUUAGUAAAUAAUUUGGUCACUCUAUUGUAUCCUUGUCUUGUCUUGUUUGUUUAUCUCGAUGCCUUUUUUGUAAGAAACCCAAAACAUAUACCUUUCCAUAAUAUAUUAAAUAUGCUAUUUUUGUACAUUUCCAUUUGUUGACAGUGACAAUUAGUUGAAUUUACAGUGAUAAUGUCACUGUCAAAUACUGUCAUUAAAAAUAUUAUAGGUGCAUUGUAAAUAUCUGUUAAAUUUCUUUUCAAUGCAUUCUGAUAAGCUAUUAUAAGUUAGUUGACAUCUUCGUGCUGUAGUUUCUGCAGCUUAGCCCGAUGUACAGCAACUUCGUCACUUCGUUAGCUCAUCGGUUGUAGGCUUUGCUCAAGGACUUCCUGGAAGGUCUAGAUGCCAAUAAAAUUUUUGGUCAGCCCUCAGGUUGCUCAUAUUCAGCAUAUGUUGAUUUUUGAUUUAAGUUGCAUGUGUCAUACAUACAUCCAUGGGCCCACUAGAAGGUUUGGACAAACCUACAUAUAGGGUUGUGCACCGAGACAUAUCAUACAUGGAGACUACGGUGCAGGAUAGUGCAGUCUACGUGGAGGAUAGGAACUAGUCGAGGACUCGAAAACUACUCAUAGCAAUUAGAGUUGGACUCUCUAGUUGAAUCCGACUACUAUUCCUGUAAAAUAAUCGGCCUGUAACCCUGCUCCUCCAAUAUAUAAGGACGAGCAGGGACCCCCUCCAGACAAGUUCAAUUGAAUACAGGCAAAUAACACAUAGGACGUAGGGUACUACGCGAUCUAGCGACUCGAACAUGUCUAAAUUGUGUGCCUACGUACACCAUCGAGUUCCUGAUUUUGGCGACACCCACCAACCAAAACUCUACCUUAGGUACUCCCCUUGGUAGGUUGUCGGGUUUAAACACCGACAUCAUGUGAGUUCCUUCAUUUUAUCAUUGACUGGUCAAUUCUUUUCAAGCAUAUGAUGAUUCGUAUUUUUGCAAGGUGGAUAUCCAAUUUGUUUGAACUGGUAGCCAUCUCAUAAUAUCUCAAUGUGGUUAUUAGUGUUCAAUUGACAAUAUUUUUGCAUCUCAGAAAUUUCUUUUGACAUCAUAGUUUUCCAUUCUAUUAUAAUUGUGUAUCAUUAUUUUUCUUCUUACAUCUGAUUUGUUGUUCCUUAGAGUGAUGAUGUGAAUGAGCCUGCACCUCCAUGCCAAUAAGAUUGUAUAAGAUAAUUUAAUUUACAUGAUGAUAGUAUUGUUACGAUAAAUCUAAUGUACUGGAACUUCUACUUUGGUCUCAUUAAUUUCAAAUUGACUUUGCAUAAUUGAUAAUUCUAAUGAGUUUUGGCUUUCAGGUUAAGCAUGUGAGAUAUGAGUCCCUUAUGCUCCGUUAGUAGUCAUGUAUCAUAUUUGUAGGAAAACAUCUAAGUUGUUUUCAUGUUCUGUGGCUCCAUUCCAAGAAAUAGUUUUUUCUCUUUUGCAGUAUGUAUCCUAGAGUUUAUUCUCAUAACAGGGGUUAGGUUUUUGACACAACUAUGAUUACAUAACAAGGAAAACAGAAAAAUUAUGUAAGUUUAUUUUUUCAUUUGUGGGGUUUCACUGAUUACCCAAAUAAUCUUUAUGUUCGCAAUUCAUAGAAAUAAUCUGAACACUUUGGUAUAUAAAUUGCAUUUGUGGGUUUUACUGAUCACCUAAAUUUUUGUCUAUCUGCAUUCCAUAGAAUAUUUGAAGAAUUUGAAUUUGGUAGAAUCUAUGUCAUCUGGCUCUUUUGAAAUUUUUCUCAUUUUGCAUUUGAGGGGUUUCAUUACCGCCCUCAACAUAUGAAAAUCUUUAAACCAUAGUAAUUUUUUGAAUUAAUUUGUCUCUAUGCCGUCUUUCUCAUUUUGAAUAUGUGGGGCCAUAUUACUUCCCUUAUUUUCUAAAACUUUGUAGACUAUAUUAAAUUUUGUGCAAAAUAUCUAGAUUAUGUCUUUUAUGUAGUUCUGUCUACUUUUGCAUUUUCUUCUUUCAAUUACUCACUUUUAUUUUUGGAGAUUUUCAGUUAUCCAUUUCUUUUGUAGUUUUUCUCAUUUGAUCAUGUGUUGGGCUGCAUCAUUGGCACCAUCAUUUGCCUUUAUUUCUGAUUGCUUUGUCAUAAUUAUUGUCUAUUUUGGUGUUCUUGUUGGGUGAUUGAAAUUCGGAUGAGCACCUCUUAGGGCCUGUUUGGGAAGUGGGUGUUAAAGUUUAACACCCCCCAUUUAACACCUUUUUAACAAAAUGGCUGCCAAACACUUGUGUUAAAAGAGUAGUGUUAAAAUUUAACACCUCUCUUUUCAUAAAUACAUGGAGGGGGUGUUAAAAUUUGCUAAAGGUGUUAAAAGUGGUCCCCCUCCCCACUUAUUCCCUAGUUGCCCCCCUCUCUCUCCUCCUCUCUCCACUUAUUAGACAGCAUUUAAGAUAAUGCAGUUCUUUUCCAACAAAGAGGUGUUAAACUUUAACACAUGUAGGGUGUUUGGAUGGGUUGUUAAAGUUUAGGUGUUAAACUUUAACACCCCUUCCCAAACAAGCCUUUAUUGUUCACCCAACUUUUUGAUCACCAUAAGUUUUGGGUGGUUUGAUGGCCCAAGUCAUCCGAGUGAAAGGAGGCAUCAAAUCACUCGGAUUUUAUCCCAUCAUAAAUUUGGGUGAUUUGAUCACUAAAAUCACCUGGGUGAUGGAAGGCCCCAGAUCGCUCCAGCAUGAUAUUGACAGACCCUAAAAGUGCGGGUGGUUAGUCGAAGGAAGGUUCUUCUGUUUGUAUUUAUUCGGUCGACGGGGCUAUGAAAUGAAUACAGCUAGUGCGCGGCUGCGCGCCAUGGAUCGGAGCUGGAGUCGUAGCCGGCCAAGCCGCUGCCGGGAGGCCAAUGCGCGCGUGGCAGGCUGUUUAUGGAAUUAAUCGGCUCAUCAUUAGCAGCUCGCGCUCCCAGCCUCCCACAUUUACUUCCCCACCACCACGUUCCAAACCUGCACGAGAAGUAGGAUCGAUCCGAGUAGUAGCAUGUAGCUGCCGGCCACACGUACGAAUCGCACGCGUACGCUUGCGCAAGGUAUCGCGCGUCACGAUCCAUUUUUACAGUACGUGGAGCACGUGGUAUUUUUUUAGAGUUUUUCUGUACAUAUACGAUCGCUUCAUCUGAUGGUCCAGUUAUGAAUCAAUGGGCUAAAAUUAAAACAGGAGCAGUUGCCACUUGUAACAUGUCGCUAUACUAAUAGGCUGUUGCAUUUCUUCCUUUAUUUUUUAGCAUUUCACUGUUUAAACGAGUUUAAAGGAAAAUGCGUGCAUUCCUCUAGUCGAAAUUCAGGUGCAUGGCCGUCAACUNNNNNNNNNNNNNNNNNNNNNNNNNNNNNNNNNNNNNNNNNNNNNNNNNNNNNNNNNNNNNNNNNNNNNNNNNNNNNNNNNNNNNNNNNNNNNNNNNNNNAACAACAUACACAUUUAAUUAGUCUCUGCGCGCUUGAUCAUGGUGUGAGUCAUGCAUAUUGGAGGAUACAAGAAACUAGCGGUGGAUGGUGAAAUUGGUACAUAAGGGGGGCGUUGGAUUUGGUCUACAGUAGCUUCUCACGUAGAAAAGCAUAUGGCGCCAUGAACCUUACAGGUCAAGGCGUGAAGCAGAUCUUAGCUGGAGACUGGAAUCAGAGGCGAGCAAAGAGAGAGAGAAGAUCAGGACGGCUUCCAGCCUUUGGAUCGUGCGUGGGGCAGCACGCAGAGCCUUGGAUCUCCUUGUCCCCCCGUCUCGUUUGCCGAAGCACGGCGGCGGCGCAGAGAGCCGAGAGAGUGAGGCGCAGAAGAGAGAAGACGGCGCCCGGCCAGUGCCAAGGGAGCGUGCAUGUGUAUGACGGACUGACUGCUUGUGUGGUGCACGGAGAGAGUACGCAUGCAUGCACGUAACAAGUAACAACAAGGGAAUGCGCCAAGCAGGGCAGAGGCCCCCCCCUCCCAUUUACGAGCGGAGACAAAGCUCACGCGCGCAGGCACAGAGUACAGGAUCCAGAGGAGAAAGGAGAGGAGGCUUCUUCACUUUCAUGAUUCCAUGCAUGCAUGCAUGAGCGCUGCAGGCCCAGCUACCUGCAUGUCCCGGCCGCCUACGCGGUGACAUGCCACGGUUCUACUCCAUGCUUUGCGUGUUGCAUAUAGCCUGGAGGUGCUUGCAUGUCUAGCUAGGGUACGUUGACUCGGUGGAGCAGCCGUAUACCGUAGACUAGACUAGACAUGCAGUACUUGCAAUCUGAUGGCCUAGCUACGACUCGAUCACACUCCACGUUCGCGCCCGGAGGUCAGCUUUUGGACGCAUCUUCUUGUCCUGCAUGUUCUAACUUCAUUGAUCCGAGGAACGAACUAGAGCGGAAGAGUGGAUGCCCUAACUCUGACGACCAGUAACCUUUAAAAUACUGUAAACACUAAAACACAACAGUUUUAGACCGCGAAGAUGUGUUGACACCGGGCAAAAUCUCAUAAGAUCCGGAGUGAGAGAUUGCCGGCUGCUAGCGUGCAUACGUUGGAAUCGCAUAUGACGUACGAUGAGAAGCUAGCGUACAUACAGACGGUGAUUGGUAACGUGCAGAAGCUGUCAGACAUGGAGUCCAGGAGUUCUAAUGCAAAGAUGGACUUCAUCAGAUUGGUCAAGCAAGAAAAGGUGAUUAGAAUAAAGAAGGUAAGGUUGGUAUUGAGAAGCUGAAACGGCUGGACUUAUAAGCCGGCUGAAAAGUUGAAACGGCUGAUUUGUUAUGAGAGAAAAACAUUAUUCGAUGGUUGAUAAGCCAGCUAAAUAAGCUGAAGCGAACAGGCCUAACGAAAAAGCCCUCACGUAUAAACAAAGGUGAUUAAAGUAAAGAAGGGAAGGUUACGGUGUGGGUGUUGGUUUACCUUGCAUGCGUCACGUAGGAGCAGUAUGGAUUAAUCACACAUGUGGACCGAUCUUUGUAUAGAUGGGUUGGAGGAAGCUUUAUUAGCGAGGACUCUACGUAAGGGAAAAUAGAGUUCAUGUAUUUUAAUAUUUUCUUUAGUUUAGAUAUUUAUUGUUAGGCAAGUUUUUUAUGACUCAACUAGGAGUUAUUAGCCUAGAGUAUAAAUAUGUACCCCUGCCAAAUCAAUCAAUCAAUUAAUACAACCUUUCAGCACCACACCGUCAAAACCCUAGGAGUAGGAGUAGAGUAGAUUCGACGAGUUCUUUCCGACACGCACGGUUGCAUCGGCUUCAAUCUCAAGCGAGCUUGUAAAUACCGUCACUCGGUCAUCACGUGCUCUAUCGGAACUUUCUAAGUUAAAUCUUAUAUUCUGAUAUUCGUGCGUGUGGCUAAUUAUCGAGUUAUCUUAGAUCACAAGUAGAACUUUCUAGGCUUUAUCCAAUAUUCUGCUUGUCUUCGACGUUGCUCACAGUUAUCGAGUUGUUUGGUUUUAUUAAGUUGUAUCAUAUCGAUCUCUUCGUUUUAUCAAGCGCUUACAGUUAUCGAACGGCUUAGAUCUGGUUAGGUUGUCUUCAUCGGCUCCUUGACCUUGUUUAAGCAUUCACUAGUUAUCUGAUCAUAUCGGCUAGUUAGAUCUUGCAUGCUUUUAUUGUUUUACAUACGCUACUGUUGAGAGCUGAUGCAUCGGCUGGGUAUCAUCCAUAUCUCAUAGAAGCGCGAUGAUGUCAUUGAGCCGAUAGGUGUGCGUACGAGGCCUUGCUGUCGCAAGCUUGUCUGCUAAAUUAAUGGGCCAAAGUUAAUGUCCUCUCAUUCUUGUUACCUUAUCUAAGUUCAAUACAUGUAUCAUGACAUUAAUUAGAUCUGUUAGCUUAAUUAGCUUGUAAGCGGCAGAUAAGAGGCUCUUGUUUGCUGUGUUCUAAUCUUUUAGAUUAAUAGAUUCAUGUCAAUGCCCUCUCAUUCAUAUUACCUUGCCUAAGUUGAAUACACUUAUCAAGACAUUGAUUAGAUCUGUUAGUUUAUCUGAUGUGUGUAUGGUGAACAAGGGCUUCUUUUAUGGAUGUUGUUUUUACAAUGCUUUUAUCUUAGCCCGUAGGUUCAUAUAGCUCAUGGCAUAUGACAUUAAUGAUUUCAUUUAUUUACAUUGCAUGAUUACAAUGAAUAUCCACGCCUACCCAUGAGUUUGAAAAGCUUCGCCGCCGAUCGACUCAGUAAUUUAAUGUUUACUUGUCAAUUUUCAGGUUAAAUUGAUUGGCACCCUUGCACCUUCGCGAGUCGAUUUGGAGCCUGCACUGAAGUUAAGCAGAUUUCGGAGGCCCUAUUUGUUGUUCAACGCAGUUUUCGUGUCAACGAUAUGCAAACUAAAAACAAAAAAACGUGAAGUGUCCUAAUGAGUACAGUACGUGUCUUACUGUCCUGCGUGUCUUACUGUCCUGAGCAUACUUUGUACUCGAGGCUUGUACUGUACAGUCUACCGUGUCCGCACUCGAGGAGUAGCUAGUCAUCCGUACAGUACAUGCUAGCCUGAAAUUUGGACCGGGGGAACAAACCAACAGCAAAAAGCUGAUGCCGCUGUCCGCCCAGAACAAGACGUGCCCUGCCCUUUCUUUCCCUCACCGCGUGCGCUGCGCACGCACGCACGAACGCGCCCUUGGUCUGGUCAGCCGUCAGCGAGUGGCGAGUGGAGCCGCGCAGCCGCCGGCCUGUCGAACCGCAAGGGCCAAGGCGACCCGCGCCCAAGGGCGCCAGGCUAUCCCGGCCCGGGUCAGCCGGCACACUGCACAAGGUCGCGUGGGGAUCGGUGAAGCGACGCCCCCAGCCGGGCCACGCGCGCCUGCGGGAGCCAUGGGAUCCUCUGCGGGCUGCGUGAGCAACCGGCGGUUUGUCUCUCGAAUAUCGCUCGUCUCCCGGCGGGGUACCGUGCCGCUAGCCCGCUACGCCACGCAGGCAGCUGCCUGAAACGGAACAGCACCAUUGGAAACGUGAUACACUUGCCUCGUUUUUUUACACUGGCUUUCUCGCGUGCAUGCUGGCAAACGGAAAACUGUACCGUGCGCAUAAUCAUCUUGUCCUGGUUGGAGGUAGGCUCUACGUUGGAUUUACAUUUUACGGUCAGCAUUCGAAAUUGGAAUGCAACGGGAUAGGGAAUGGAUGUAGGCUCAACGAAACAACAUCUCUACCACUUCUUUACUGUAUCAGUCGGUUGCGGUCGCGACAGGUCAAAAUCCCCAAGUGGAAGCUCCCUAUGCGUGUGGCCAUGCCACAUGAAGCGGUGUUUGAUCAUCUGCCACGUACUCCCUCCGUUCGCGAAUAGAUGUCGUUCCCAACCGGUUCGACGAAAUUAAGGAACCUGUGAAAUUACUAUUUUGCCCAUCCUAAUUCCACCGAUCCAUCCCCUGUUUCCCCCAGGUGGCUCCGCUUUGCCCAGAUCCACCGAUGGCGCUGCCACCAUGCUUCGCCUGAUGGCCCCGCCGUCCCGAUGGCCCCGCCGUGCUUCGCCGUUCCAGGCUCCUCCUCCACCGCACCAUCCCAGCUCCUCCCUGGCACCGCUCCCUCCACUGCAGCCCCAGUGGCGCAUCUUGCCGGGGCGGCGGGGUCACUGCUGGCAUGGGAGGACAUCUCCUUGGGCUUCCCCUCCCCCGCGUUCGUCGACACCACCCUCAACCCUUCGGCGCACGUGGGUAUGCAGCUAGGCAACUCUUCGCCUGUGUUGCUUGCGGGUUUAGCCUCGUCAUCGCGCCCAUCAACUCUUUGCCAAGAUUUCCCUUCUCCAUCUAUGAGGUAUGACAUCAGAUGUCUUUCUUGGUUUGUCGAUCCAUCUACGAGUUCAAUCUUUUGAUGAUGGUGAUUCUAGGUUGCUCUGCAUUGUGAUGUGACAAUUUGAAGCCAAUAUGUGAAAAUUGUCUAAUCCAUUUGCUAUGAUCAGAAUAGGAUAGGGCCCAGGCCUAUAGGCUCCUGUUGUUCAAUUAUUCUGGUGUUUUAAUUUAUUCCAACUUGUGUGUGUGUUUUGCAUCUGAGUGCAGAUGGAAUGGAAGCACCACCACCGAAGAUUCAAUUGAAGCCUGGUCCACUAUGAUCAUAUUUUUUUAGUUGCCCAUAUAAUGAUUUUGAAGCAUGAAACACAUCUUUGUCCAUAAAUCUGGAAAAUGUUGUCCACUAUGCCAUACUAGUCUGAUCACCACUUGAUUAGCAUGUUAAGCUUCUAAUACAAUGUUUAUUUACCACUGCAAGAUAUCGCUCGCUUGCAAUGAAAAUUUUCCAAAAUAGGCCACGAGAUAAACUCAAAGUAAGAACACUGUUGUGUCUUCUCCAUCUCAUCAAAAUGGUACUCCUACGCAUAUAACUCCCUGCACUUGGUUAGCAUAUUUGCAUUGGUAGGACCAAGGAAUUGUCUAAUCCAUUUGCUAUGAUCAGAAAUUUGUGUAGCCCAUUUAGUUAUUCAGCAUUUUUCUAGUCCAUUUGGUCAGUAGAGUUGUGUUCCAUUUGAUCAGGGAGUAUCUGUUUCUUAGAUGGCAGUAAUACAAGUAUGAUUUCUAUCUCAUCGUUGUGAUUGGCAGUAAUACUACUCCAUUUGGUGAGUACACGCUGAGUUGUGUGGUACAGUAAGGGUGACUAUCUCAUAUGUGUAUCAUUGUUUGUUCCCUUUGGUUACUGUCAUUUGUGCUUAACAUACGUGAAGCUGGUAGCAUUGCUACCCCCAGAUGUAUGCUGUGAUGCUGUGGAUGGUCAUUUCUUUCUCUUUUUGAUUGGACAGUGUUCAUCUUUGUCAUGUGCUGACAUAGGAUCAAGAUAACCAAUACCAAUUACCUUUUUUUUCUAACCAUGAUAGCUACCGACCAGUUUAAGUACUCCCUCUUUUGUGCACAACUCAUGUUAAAUUAAUACUCGUGUAGGGCUGUGGAGGUCAGGAUAAAUGAUCAAGUAGAAUGGCAAAGGAGGAAGAAAAGAAAGUCCCCUUGUACAAGCAUGUUACUUUUCAGAUCAUCGCUAAGCCGAAUGUUAUUGUCACCACAUUUGAGGUCCCCUACAGCAAGACAUGGGAGAUCGCCACUAGCCACAACAUGCCCAAGAGCAGUGAAUGAUAUUGAUUUAAAUUUGGAUACAGAGAAUGGUUCUGAUACAGGGGCUGUUCUACAACCUCAAGAGAGUGCACGGAGGAGACCUGUUGUGCAUGAGAAACGAAAAGCAAUAUUCGAAUCUUUGAUAGCAAAGGUAGGAAUGGAAAUUUAAAGGGUCAUGAGAUGAGUGAAGUUUUAGAGAAAUUCUCAGUACCUCUUCGGACAGUCCAGCGUAUCUGGAAAAAGGGAAAAACCUGCAUAGACCAAGGUAUGCUAGUUGAUGUUUCAAGUGGAAAGUCCAGGUGUGGUCGCAAGAAGAUUGAGGUGGAUGUGUCAACACUCCGCGAUCUUCCUUUGUCAAGUCGUACAACAAUACAUGAUGUGGCUCAGCACUUUGGUAUCAGUAAAAGCAAAUUGCAUGCAAUGAAACGUGAAUGCAUUAUAAAGCGUGUCUCAAGCAGCAUCAAGCCCUACUUAACAGACAAAAACAAGAAGGACGGGCUGAAGUGGUGUCUAUCUAUGCUUGACCCAAGCAGUGUACCACAUGAUCCCAUGUUCCAAGGUCUAUUUGAUUAUGUGUUCAUUGAUGAAAAAUGGUACUACAUUACAAGAAAAGCAGAGAGAUAUUAUACAAUUGCAGGAGAAGAACAACCGGUUCGAACUUGCAAGAGCAAGAAAUUACAUUCCUAGGAUCAUGUUUUUGACUGCCGUUGCUCGACCAAGAUUUGAUCCUGAUGGCAAUUGCACAAUUGAUGGAAAGAUUGGUUGCUUCCCAUUCGUGACAUAUGAGGCAGCCAAGAGGUCAAGUGCAAACCAGCUUGCAGGAACAAUAGAGAUGAAGCCUAUCGACUCGGUAAAAAAGGAAGUCAUUCGAGAAUUCAUGAUCGAAAAGGUCUUACCAGCUAUUCGUGCUAAGUGGCCGCCUAGAGAUGCCAACAAGCCAAUAUUCAUACAGCAGAACAAUGCUAGACCCCAUCUUACUCCUAAUGACACAAUGUUUUGUGAGGCUGCUAAGCAACAUGGGUUUGACAUGAGACUUGUCUGUCAGCCAGCAAAUUCACCUGAUUUCAAUGUCUUGGAUUUAGGCUUCUUUAACUCUAUUCAGUCAAUCCAGUACAAAACAACAUCCAAAACAACUGAAGAGCUUGUAGCCACUGUAGAUCAGGUGAGAGCUCUAAACUUGUUUGCUUUUCCUUUGCAAUUGUGUGUGCAACAACUUAUUAUGAAAAAAUGUUCUAAAAUAUAUCAAUAUGCGGAUCAGGCUUUUGAACGUUAUUCGGUGCGUCAAGCAAAUAGAAUUUUCUUGACUCUCCAUAGAUGUAUGAAGGAAGUUAUGAAACUUGGUGGUGGAAAUGGAUAUGAUGUUCCUCACAUCAAGAAAGGGAUGCUCGAAAGGCAAGGGUGUCUCUCUUUGCAACUGAAGUGUGAAGCGCAAUUGGUGCAAGAUGCUAUGGCACAAAUCAACGAAUAAAGAGCAAAAAAACUAUGUGUAAUUUAUUCUUGAUCGAUCUUUUAAACUACAUUGUGGUUAGUUUUGCAUAAUGGAUGAAAUAAUUGCUGCUAAGUUGACAGCCUGUGAUAAAUGUGGUUCAAUUAUUCUUGAUGUCAGUUAAGAAAUUUUAGCAUGACAAAAUGAAUGUGCUAUACAAAUGAAUGUGCUUGAUAUUGCUAUUUCUUCAUGUCAGUUAAGAUAUUGCUAUCAUCUUUACCAAGAGAGGGUACAAACUUUACAGAACCACAGACUGGACACCAAGAAAGGAAGGUACUCCAAUAGAACUGACCAAUUUUGAGCCGAAAAACAGAUUCUGAGAGCAAUACUCCUCAAACAGUAUUUAGUACAAAUUGUUACGGUACAUACAUCUGCAAAAAUGCAAUUCACAGAUUGAAUAUGGACAUGUCAUCCUCACAGUAUGCUAGUGCAGAAAUGCAAAGUGUUGCAGUACUCCUCACAAAUUGAAUAGAACUUCCUAUCCUUUCUACACCUAUCUCAACACCUAAAUACUCCUUGUACAACAAUUCCUUGUACAACAACUUGAGGUUUCUUAACAACAAUUGUGUCUGUUGGGCCCUGGCAAUCUCUUCAUCGCAUAGAUAAGCCCCUGCAACAAUUGUGUCUUUCAUGUGACUUUCUACAGAAUCCGAGGGGCAGAGAACAGCACUGACUCCGCCUUGUGCGUAGUUUGUGUUGCUCUCAUGAGGCUCUGCUUUGGUGAUAAUAGCAAUAGAGCUAUACUUUGAAACUUCCAAAGCAUACCUUAGGCCAGCAACACCGCUACCAAUAACCACGAAAUCAAAGAAUUUUGUGGUAUCAUCUUGCAGGCAUGAAAUCAAACAAUUAGCACGCUAUCAUCAAAUUAAACAAUGCAACAAUAACACGGUAGGAAGUGUCAGAUCAAAGCUCGCAAUUUGAAAUAAGUACUCAAUUGAUUAUACAUAUCAUUUCUAACUGAAGACCUUUUACAUGUUCUUUUGGUUCUCUUAUCUGAAUCAUACUUCAGUCAGUUUGGAAAUCGUGACACUGCUUCUUUCAAAUAGUUCAAUAUAAUAAGAGGCUAUCAGACUGCAACAAGCACUUGGAAUCCUCCUGUAAAAAAAUAAACGUUUGACGCUCUCGGAGAGAAGAAUAUUUGACAGCAUCAACUUCACCUAGAGUUAUCAAGCUGGGCGCAUCUUCUGAAACAGAGAGAAGGUAGUCCAGAAGCUUGCAUGUGCACUUUCUCGAUAUGCAUCAACCGUGCGCAUUGGAAGCUGGCAAAUCCAUUCGUCAGGUUCGCCAUCCCGUCCUCGGCUCUGCCUGCAGAAACGAAACCAGAGCACACAAACUAAUCAAGAACGUAGACUGCACAGGGAGAAGCAGAAAAGAGGAAGAAUUAUCUUUUCCAAAUAAAAGCAGGAGGAAGAAUCCAGAGGAACGAACAGCAACCGCAAACAAAACAAGCAAUGAGCGAAAGAACUGAAAAGAUCUCCAAUUACGGACGGGUAGAACAGGAACGAGAAGAUCUAAGCAUCCCCGGCGAUAAAAGCCAGGCAGGACCGUAGGACGACAACGGGUUCAGGGUCCGUUUGGUUUGGCUUUUUAGGUGCUGUGGCUUCCUAAAAAAGCCAGAAGCCAAACCAAAGGGGGUACUCAUACUCCUUAGCUUCUAGAGAAAGCUGCUUUUGUGCAGUUCAUUUUUCACAGCAGGGGAGGAGGUGCUUUUUGGAGCUUUGGCUUUCACAAGUUGAAAGAAAUUACCCACUGCCAUGGGUUAUGUUGUACCGGUUCGCUUCUUUUCUUUUCUUUUUCCGUCUCCCUCACCUGCCGGCUCUCCCUGCCCGGCACCGUUCCUCCUCCGGCGGCGGCGCCCCUCCUCCUCCUCCGGCGGUGGCGCCCCCUCUCUGCGGUGCCCCUCCUCCCUUCUCCUAUCGACCUGCCGGAGGUCAUCUUUUUCCCCGCACCGGCCCGCCAUGGGUAGAGGCCGGGCGAGCUCGAGAGCUCCCCGGUCCGAGGCCUCGAGCUACUAGGGACCAAGGGGAAGGUAGGAGGAGCAAGGGGAGGGCGCGGGCAUCCCAUUCUAGUGGUUGGGGAAGGGAAAGGGGAAGGGUGAGGCGCGGCCAUUGGGGUAAGUGGCGCUGCUUGUCUCGGUGCGGUGUGCUACUCCGGUGAGAGGAGGAAGGAGGAGGGUCGAGGGUGGAGAUGGGGUGGAGGUGCGUGAGGGCGAGGAGCUCGACCUCGCGCUCCAUGGAGGAGAGCACCUCCUCGGCCUAGCCCGCGACCCAGUGCGCCUGGAGGAAGAAGAUCUGUGCGCCUGGAGGAAGAAGAAGAUAAUGACGAGUGGGGUCCGCAUGUCAGUGAGAGAGGAAGAGAGUUCAGUGGGGUGGACUGUGAAUGACACGUGGGUCCGCUUGUAAGGGUUUUCAAAAAGCCACAGUUGUUUCACCAAACGGCUUUCAGCUUUCUCACAGCCCACAGCUCACAGUAGCUUUUUCCACAGCCCACAGCUCACAGCUACUUUUGCAAAAGCCACAGUGCAACCAAACACACCCUCAGAGUGACGGCGAAUCUGCGGAGAGGAAGGCGCGCGCGGGGGCGAGGGUGGCUGGCGGGGGGCUGGCGACGCACAGGAGGAGGGAGGUGGGGCUGGAAGCGCUGUGCAGGCGGCGGGGCUGGUGGCGAAUCGGAGGAGGGAGGUGGACUCGGCAGCAGUGUGGACUCGGCAGUAUGGAGGAAGAUGCGGAGGGUAAAAAUGGAAAGUAGAGCGGUGAUUGAACUACGACGACAUCUAUUCGCGAACGUUUUCAUUUGAACUACAGGGACAUCUAUUCGCGAACGGAGGGAGUACAUGGUUUGGAGCAUGUCGGCGGCCAGAAACCAGGGAUGCAACAUGCCACUUCAAAUCAAAAUCCUGCGGGUGGAAAAUCCAAUUGUUGUUCAACGGGACGUGUUAUACGAGGACAGAAAGAAAAUCUCAUUUUAUGUAGGGCCUGUUUGGCAACCACCUAUUAAAGUUUAACACCCGUCACAUCGGAUGUUUGGAUGCUAAUUAGGAGUAUUAAAUAUAGGCUAAUUAUAAAACUAAUUGCACAGAUGGAGUAUAAUUCGCGAGACGAAUCUAUUAAGCCUAAUUAGUCCAUGAUUUGACAAUGUGGUGCUACAGUAACCAUUUGCUAAUGAUGGAUUAAUUAGGCUUAAUAGAUUUAUCUCGCGAAUUAACACAGGGUUCUGCAAUUAGUUUUAUAAUUAGCUCAUGUUUAGUUCUCCUAAUUAGCAUCCGAACAUCCGAUGUGACACUGUUAAAAUUUAACACCUCGUAUCCAAACACCCCCGUAAUUAUAUUUACAUAAAGCUCUGCACUUAGCAACAGGGUUUAAUGGCUCGAUACAUGGCAGAUAAUUUUUAAUGGGAGACGUGGCAUCAUCAAUCUCCCAUUCUGUCCGCCGCUUGUCGUCGCUCCAACACACUCUCAUCCGGCAUUUGUUUUGUGUGAACCGUGAAAUCAAAAGCUCUUGUAAAAAAAAAUGUAAAAUCGGCUGUGAAAUCCAUUGUAUACACAUAAGAAUUCCCACGGGAUCAUAAAACGCGGCGAAUUAUGUAGUCAUCCGUGUGUCGCCAUGGCGGGUUGGGGUCCUGGGGACCUGAGGUUGUUGGCUACUCUAGCAAUUUAUUUGCUCCUGGGCACUGCAGUGGAAAACAGGGCAGGACAAAGAUUCUAAUCAGGCCCGAGGAAUAGAAGCUGCUGCAGGCCUGCGGCCUCGCCUCGCGCCCUGGCCUAGCGUUCGGGUCAGAGUAGGCCGAACGAUUCCAGGUUCCAGCACUGCCACUCUGCUGGCAGCGCCAGAAGAUGUCCCCCUCCCUUGCCCUGCAGUCUGCUCUCCUAUCCCGAAAGCGUCGUCCGCCUUCAAUGGACAUGCUCACAUGCCUGGCUCUGCAAUCCUGCCCGUUGGCUACGGUUUCUGCACAGUCACGCAGGCACCGCGAUCGCGUUGGAGCUGGACACCGGAGGUCGGGAGGACGACGAAGCAGGUCGAGAGGAGAAAGUAACGCCAGCAUGGCUGUUUGCGAGCGAGCACGGAGCAUUGACUCCGCCGGCGCUGCAGGCCGCAGGCGCUGCGCUGGGGCAGGGAGGUUUAGGGUUUGGAAACCCAGGGCUCGCGUGGUGUCACAGGGACUAAGGGUAUUUGAUCUUGGAGUUAAAGUUUAGUCCAUGUACAUCGAAUAUUCGGAGGUUAAUUAAAAAUAAUUAAAUAUGAGUUAAUUAUAAAACUAAUUACACGGGCGGACGCUAAAUGACGAGGAGAAUCUAUUAAGCCUAAUUAAUCCAUCAUUAGCAAAUGGUUACUGUAGCAGCACAUUGUCAAAUCAUGAACUAAUUAGGUUUAAUAGAUUCGUCUCGCCGUUUAGCCUCCAUCCGUGUAAUAGGUUUUGUAAAUAAUUUAUAUUUAAUACUUCUAAUUAGUUUAGCGUGAUGAUCAAACAUCCCUUGGGACGGGCCGGCCGGCGGCCUGCGCGCGUGCGAUUCGUGCAUGCCUGCCGUGCGGUGUGUGCGUGCAGGCUGCUGCAGGGGCGCAGGCCAGAGUUGUGGAUGGAGCAUGGAGGGAUGCGCCUGCGCGCCCAUCUAUGCAUCUGGGGUAGAGUACCUGUGCAAUGAGCUACUAUACGACGAUGUCUACAUACGUAUUCCGUUUGCGCGUAUACGUUGACAUCUUGCAGCAGACAAGACAUACAAAUGAUACAAACGGGCUCUUUAUAGGCAGACACGCUCAGUCCGUUUCGUGCUGCGUGGGAGUGUGGCGCAGCUUUUCUCUCUUCCGGAAGAACUGAGCCUUUAGCGCUCGUACUCACCGGAACGCCGCAGGUCCAUCACACGCACACUUCUACAGUUGUACGUGUAAUCGUAAAGCAAACGUCCAUAAGGUCGGGCGACCUAGAAUGGGUGUUGAAUGAUGAUGCAUCCGGAUCAGACGAUCCGCUGCCACCUGGUUUUCGUGUAACGUGACCGAUUGAAACUACGGAGACAUGUACACCAUCCCUUAAUAAUUCGGCAAGUGACUUCACGUCUCUUUUGACUUGUGCAGUGUAGUAUGGAGUACUAUUUUGCUUGAAACACGUACACAAUUUUACCAACCUUUGCUUUUACCAAGGCAAUUCAUCUACUACAAGAUGAAAUGAUCAAAAUGCCCACAUAAAAAUAAUUUUUAGUGUUUCUAGAACAUUUCUAUAGUACAGUACCCUUAUAAGAUGAAAUGAUCAAAAUGCCAAGUGUUUUUGGAAACAAAUAAAGUGAUAAACAUUUUGAGAGGGUCGUGUGUUGCAAAGCUAAGGAUACAAUGAAAAUGAGAAAAGCAACUUUUCUGGAGGGCUUCCUAUAUGGCUUCCGAAAGAUGCGUAAGAGGUUGAACUAUAAAGGCCAGCAACCAUCCAUUAAGUUCAGCACCACCUAUUUCCAUCCGUUCCAUUAGAUUGCACGCACAUACACAAAAUCAUACCAUAUACCUUUGACUUUUUUCAUGACACUAUACAGAUACAUGAAGAAUUGCAUGCUUAGUGCUUUUAACUUUUUCCACGACACUGUACUUAGUUCAGAAGUUGAAUAUUUUUUGCAGGGCAUGUGGUUUGAAGUUUUGAAGAGGGAUAGUAUCAGAUGGGGACUGGCAAGUUGAAAUUUGAAGUUCAAAAAUGAAAUAAUAACUGAGAAAAUAUGCAUAUACCAAUAUUUACUUUGUACAUAUCAUCCGUUUGAUUUGUCUAAAUACAAAUGAUAUAUUUGACAAAAACACAUAUCUUGAAAAGAAAGUUAUUAUUAUAUAAAUUCCAGACCUAAGAAAAAUUAAUUCUCCAAACAAACUCCAGAACUAUAUGGUCCAUAGGAUUAUAGCCAAAUAAGAAACAACAAUCAUCAUAAAUCGGCCAACACCUCAUGAAGUGUUACUCCACCUGUUAAUUAUAAACGUAGAAUUAAUCACGUUUGAAAUUGAAUUAUGAAAUAUUGCAUUGCAAUACUAAAAAUGUUGAACUAUACCUAUAAAUUGUUGAAACUGGUAAUACGAAAUGUAAAGUUUCACUAAUAAAGUUGUUGGACAAACAAAUGAUAUUGAAAUCGAAUAUAUAAUGUUGGGUUCAAGAGUAAAAAUGUUCAACCAAACCAAUGGUAAUGUUGAAUCUUAAAUGUAAAAUGUUGCAUUGAAAUACUAGAAAUGUUGGACCAUUCCAUCAGAAGUAAUGAGACUGUAAAUAUUAAAUGUUGAAUUCUAUUAGUAGAAAUGUUGAGCCUAUUCAUUUAAAAUGUUGAAAUGAAACAUAAAAUGUUGGUCAAUUGGAAAUGUUAAAGCUGAAAAUAUAAAGAAAUAUAUGAUAAUUAAAAAAGUUAAGAUCAAUAAAAUGUUGGUGAGAAAAAUAGUUUGGAAAAAUGUUAGGUCAUUUGUGGAAAUGUUGGGCAACCUAAAUAAAUUUGGGGAUUCACCAUAACUUUAAGAAAGAGUUGAGGACUGUCAAAAAAUUGUUGAGAAACAUUAAAUAGAUGUUGAGUUUCAUUAGUAUAGACGUUGAACCAAACCAUCGGAAAUGUUGAAACUGAAAUAUAAAAUGUUGCAUUGCAAUAUUAAAAAUGUUGAACCCACUAAAAAUGUUGAAACUGAAUAUGUAAAAUAUUGAGUUUCACUAAUAAAUAUGUUGGACAAGGAAACAAAAAUGUUAAAGUCGAAUAUAUAAUGUUAUGUUCAAAGAGUAUAAAUGUUGAACCAAACCACGGUAAUGUUGAAUCUUAAAUAUAAAAUGUUGCGUUGAAAUACUAUAAAGGUUAAACCAUUUCUUCAGAAAUAAUGAGACUGUAAAUAUAAAUACGUUGAAUUAUAUUCGUGGAGACGUUGAGACUGAAAUGUUGAGACUAAAUAUAAAAUGUUGGUCAACUGGAGGUAUUGGAGCUGAAACUAUAAAGAAAUAUAUGUUGGUUAAACAAGCUAAGGUCAAUAAAAUGUUGGUGAGGAAAAAUGUUGAGCCUAUUCCGUUUGGAGUUUUUUUUGACAUUCACCAACUUUUUUACACAAAAGUUGAGAUAGUUCAUCUAAAAUGUUGAUUUUUAAAAAAAUAUAAUAAAAUAUAGUCAUAUUGGAUCUCAUUUUGUUACAUUGAUUCUAAAUAACACGAUGGUGCAAAGAGAAUAAAAAACGGAGUUACGAUUUGAGAGAAAAAUGAAAUCAAAGUUUCAAAUCCAAAGAAAACCCAUCCCGUCACUCCUCCAUAGCACCCAACGGGAUAUUGACACGUGUCUAGCUCGUUUCCAUCAAGCCAGCUGCGCUGCAUACGGUUUCAUCCGAUUCAUUUGGCUUUGCACGGAUCUCAGAUAUUGAAAGAUUAGAUGAAAAAUUUCUUCCGGAAGAUUUAUAGGUUCUGCGCUUUUCUGGCUGCCGCGGUGCUCCAAAGCCCUGCUAGCAUGUCGCUGCGAUCGGCCCAUUGGCCCAAUCGGCAACUGCUUCAUUCACGGCGACGCCGACGCCCACCUGGGCCUGGCGGCCUCGCUAGCUGCUCCAUGCAACGCCGCACUGGUGGUCGCCAGCUCCGUCCCGGAGUCCAACUGCUAGCGCUGCCCUCUAGAGAUUGGGAUCAUCGGUGGCGAGGAGGUACAAGACGCCCCUGAAGAAGGGAUAGCGAUGGAAUGUGCGAGUCUACAACUGCCGUUUGGUAUUGCAUCUCGCUUUUGUGUUGCGUGUAUCUUGUCCACACUGACAAAGAGCAGGAGCCGCUGCAUCCACCCUGACCAUUGGACGUUGGGUUGUAACAAUUGCAGCAAUAAGAUCGCCCUCCUCUCUUUUGGCGUAUCAGGAGGGGCGAUGUUCUCAUACCAGCAUGGUGAAAACAAUUCGUUCAGAUUGUGCGUAAAAACAAAUACGACAGCUGUUACAACAAUUUUGUGCGUGUGCGGAGGGGAGUUACAAUGAUUAAUUACAAAUUCGGCGAGUGACUUCACAGCUCUUUUUACUUGUGGACUGUAUGAAUAUUACUCUUUGGAUACAAAUUGAGUGGGAAUUAUAAUGCAAGUACAUAUAUAUAAAACUGAAAAGAAACAGCCAUGGUAAAAUCGAAAAAAACCCCACUAUCUACAUUAUAUACGUAGUACAUCUUGACCAUACGCACAUACAGGUGUAUGCACAGAUACACACAACACAAAUGUUGAGAUCGACGUAAUAUCCACAGUUAGUAGACUUCCACGUUCCAUUGCUCUCCCUUCUUCAGCUGCUUCUUGUACUCGAACCAGUCAAUUCCUAACAUUGUGCAAGCCAAGCAGCAAAAUUCAGCAUCAUUUGGACAUCAAGACCUUCCACACAAAAAGGUUCAGAAGAUUGUAUACAUACCGUCUUUCUCAGCCAGUGUCACCAUGAUCUCAUCGAUACCCUUCUCCAUGCCUUUCAACCCACACAUGUAGACGUAGGUGUUGUCCUUCUUCAGAAGCUCCCACAGCUCCUCCUUGUAUUCCGCCAUCCGGGUCUGGAUGUACAUCUUCUCUCCCUGAGCGUUGGUCUGCUCUCUGCUGACAGCGUAGUCCACGCGGAAAUUAUUCGGCGCUUUCGUCUUCAUCUUCUCAAACUCCUAAAUAAUGUUUCGCAAAAUGCAGCGCAGCUAUGGAGGUUAAGUAUCACAUGAAAAGGAAAAAGAUUAGCUUGUGAUGAAGUGCUCAUGAAAACAGCAGAGAUCGAUGUACUGACAUCCGGGUAGAGCAGCGAACUGCUCGUUGGAACUCCCAAGAAGAGCCAUGCAAGACCGUUGAACUGCACAAGAAUGUAAUUCAAACUUGUUGCUUCCAUGUUCACCGUGGAUUUUAGUUGGCGAUAUGAAGAUUUUGAUACGUACCUGGUAGUCGUCAUGCUUCUCGAAGAACAUCUUCCACAGGAAUGAGCGGAAUGGAGCAAUACCGGUACCGGUCGCA
rnacentral:lncRNA from 1 species